rnacentral:lncRNA from 1 species
GCAGGAAAAUGGUAAAGGUUCUUCUACCUCCCUAGGCAGGAAAGAAGCAGCCAAUACUUUAGCCGCCGCACACUAUGCCGCCACCGAGAAGUCCAUCAAGAAGGCCGAAACCGCCAAGACACCUGCAAAGGUCGUGGCUGCCAAGCGAGACGCAGCAAAGUCUGUUGACAAUGCAUUAAAGUAUGGUGCCAUCUCUCGGAAAGCAGCCGGUACAAGUUCUUCUACCUCCCCCAAUAGGAAAGAAGGCACCACUGAUGCUGCUAAGAUGUUCACCAAGAAGGCUGAAACCGCUACCACACCUGAAGAGGCCGCGGCUGCCAAGCAAGCUGCAGCCAAGUCUACCGCUGCUGCAUCAAAGUAUGGUGUCAUUUCUCAGCAAGUAGCUGGUACAAGUUCUUCUACCUCCCCUAGCAGGAAAGAAGCUGCCGGUACCUUGGCAGGUGCUCGCAUAGCUGCUGCCGAGAAGUCCAUCAAGAAGGCUGAAACCACCACAAGACCUGAAGAGGCAACAUCCGCUAAGAAGGAUGCCGCGAAAUCCGAGGCUGAUGCAAUGAAGUACGGGGCCAUCUCUCAGCAGGCCGCCGGCAAAAAUGGUGCCUAAGUGGUGCCUUAAACACCUAUUCACACGCAACAUCAUCUACAUACUACCAUGCAUGCAAAAUAGCAGCAUUCAGAUACCACAUUAUGCUAAUUCUCAUGCAUGCACGCUUUGUUUAAACGUUCCCAUUACGAAUCAUGUAUUAAUGUCUUGCUUGUUUUAUUUUUAGUAGUAAGACACGCUUGACUUGCUUUAAAAAAAAUACAACAAUCGACGUAUACAUGUAUUAUCUGAAAAUUAAUAAUAUGAGUUCCACCGCAAUUUGUUUCUUUUUGUCAUAAUUUGGGUGCAAUCAAUGCACACAUCCAAUACACAAAAUUGGACGACUCAAUGUGUUAUGGCUCCAUGGAGCGGCGAAUCAUGUUUUAUUGUCUUGCUUGUUUUACUUUUAGUAGUAAUGUCUUGCUGGUCAAUGUAUUAUGGCUCCAUGGAGCGGCAUAAUGAUAUAUGAUAUAUCUUCACUACUUCAAAAAGAACUUAAGGUUUUGUCAUACAUCUUUCCUUCAUCCAUCCUCCCUACGAAUCCUUCCUGUUUUGAUUUUUUCUCCCAUCUUUGAUUUUUCUCCCCAUUGAUUCUACCUAAAAACCACCUCAAUGUCACAUGUUUACUGUAUAUGUCAAGGCCUCCUUUGGUUCAUAGGGUAGAAAAAACAUAGGAAUAGGAAAGUCAUAGGAAAUGAGAUGACAUGUAUCUCAAAUCCUAUGAUUGGGAAUAGGAAAGGAGAUGCCCUUUGAUUCACAUCAUAGGAUUUUUUCAUUGAAUCUAGGCUAAUGUUUAUUUUCCUAUGAAAUGUGAAGGAGAGGAAGAAUUCCUCCAUAGGAUUAGGAUUCCAUUCCUACAAACCAAAGGACUCUAAAGGAAUUUUUCCUAUAGAAAUCCUAUCCUAUGAAAUUCUUACAAGAUUCCUCCAAAUCAAAGGAGGCCCAAGUGGUUGUGAUGAGACAGUGGCUGGGCACUUCAGAUUUAUUCCCGUAACUGACUGUCAAAUUGAGUCAUCUGUCAUCCUUUCGAUGAUUGUAAGAAAGUUAUAUGUUUAUUGUAUGUGCCAAGUGGUUGUGAUUAUCGUUACCGGCCACAAAGUUAUAUUUUCUUGUCUUAACGAAGGGUUGCAUACAAUGCGUGUAGCUCUUGACGCCUGAUAACCCACAAGUAUAGGGGAUCGCAACAGUUUUUGAGGGUAGAGUAUUCAACACAAAUUUAUAGAUUCGACACAAGGGAGCCAAAGAAUAUUUGUAAGUAUUAACAACUGAGUUGUCAAUUCAACCACACCUGAAGAUUAAUUAUCUGCAGCAAAGUGAUCAGUAGCAUAGUAGUAUGAUAGUUUUGAUAGUAGUAGCAACAUCAACAGUAACGGUAACAGUGGUAGCAAUGGUUUUGUAGCAGUGACAAUAGUAACAGCAGCAGCAGUAACUUAGCAAGAACAAUAUGUACGAAAAUCGUACGCAUUGGAUCGGUGAUUUGUUGGAUGAUAUUCAUCAUGUGACAGUUACAACCUAGGACGAUACGGCACUAGCUCCAGUUCAUAAAUAUAAUGUAGGCAUGUAUUCUAUAAAUAAUCAUACGUGCUUAUGAAAAGAACUUGUAUGACAUCUUUUGUCCUACCCUCCUGUGGCAGCGGGGUCCUAUUGGAAACUAAGGGAUAUUAAGGCCUCCUUUUAAUAGAGAACCAGAAUAAAGCAUUAACACACGUGAAUACAUGAACUCCUCAAACUACGGUCAUCACAGGGAAGUGUCCCGACUAUUGUCACUCCGGGGUUGCCGGAUCAUAACACGUAGUAGGUAACUAUAACUUGCAAGGUUGGAUCUAGAACAUAGAUAUAAUGGUGAUAACAUAAGUCAUAGCAACAUCAAUCAAGAACAUAAUGGAUACUAGGGAUGAAGCCCUAACAAAACUAACUCAAUUACAUGAUGAAUCUCAUCCAACUCCUCACUGACCAGCGAGCCUACGAAGGAAUUACUCACUCCUGGUGGGGAGCAUCAUGGAAUUGGCGAUGGAGAAGGGUUGGUGAUGACGAAGAUCGAAGAUCCCACUCUCUGGAGCCCCAAACGGACUCCAAAUCUAGCCUCCCGAUGAAGAACAGGAGAUGACGGCGGCUCCGUCUUGUGGAUCGUGAUAAUUCUUUCUCCCUGAUUUUUUUCUGGAAAAAUAGGAUUUUAUAGCGUCGGAUUCAGGGCCUGCGGGGCCACCAGGUGGGGACAACCCACCUGGGUGUGCUUGGAGGGGGGGGGGGGCUGGUGGGUUGUGCCCAUCCAGGUGCCCCCCUCCGAUUGUUCUUGGCUCCAGAAAUUCUCUGUAUUUGUAUAAAAAUUCCUCGCAAAGUUUUGUUCCAAUCCGAAAACUUUUAUUUCUGCACAAAAAAAACACCAUGGUAGUUUUGUUGGAAACAACGUCAGUCCGGGUUAGUUUCAUUCAAAUCAUGCAAAUUAGAGUCCAAAACAAGAGGAAAGUGUUAGGAAAAGUAGAUACGACGGAGACGUAUCAACUCCUCCAAGCUUAAACCUUUGCUUGUCCUUAAGCAAUUCAGUUGAUAAACUGAAAGUGAAAAAAAAUUAUGAACUCUUUUGCUCUUGUUUUCAUAAAUAAGCUUAAACAUCACCCAGUGUCGGUGUCGAAACCGGCGGAUCUCGGAUAGGGGGUUCCGAACUAUGCGUCUAGGCGGAUGGUAACAGGAGACAAGGGACACGAUGUUUACCCAGGUUCGGGCCCUCUCGAUGGAGGUAAAACCCUACUCCUGCUUGAUUAAUAUUGAUGAUAUGGGUAGUACAAGAGUAAAUCUACCACGAGAUCAAGGAGGCUAAACCCUAGAAGCUAGCCUAUGGUAUGAUUGUUGUUGUCCUACGGACUAAAACCCUCCGGUUUAUAUAGACACCGGAGAGGGUUAGGGUUACACAGAGUCGGUUACAAUGGUAGGAGACCUACAUAUCCGUAUCACCAAGCUUGCCUUCCACGCCAAGGAAAGUCCCUUCCGGACACGGGACGAAGUCUUCAAUCUUGUAUGUUCAUAGUCCGGGAGUCCGGCUGAAGGUAUCGUCCGGCUAUCCGGACACCCCCUAAUUCAGGACUCCCUCAGAGCCCCCGAACGAGGCUUCAAUGACGACGAGUCCGGCGCGCAAAUUGUCUUCGGCAUUGCAAGGCGGGUUCUCCUUCAAUUUCUGUGUACCUGCUGAAUAAUGUCCGGUUUCUUAUAAAUGUAGCGCUCCUCGGCUUCCACGCCCAAUAAUGGCCGUCUUCCACGUGUCAAAUGAAUACGAAAAGUCUGGGUGUUUUUACAUUCACACCCCCAGCCGCGUAAAUGAGCUGCCUAUUUAAAGGGACGGGGAUUUAGAUCCAAACCACACCUUCUCCUCUCCGCGAGUUUCAUCAGAGCGCAUCCGACAAAGGACCGUUCCAUCAUGGCCAGCGGUCGCAGCUCCUCCUCUCGCCCUUCCAGCCCUCAUCCUGGAGAUUGGGAGAGAUGCUCCGUCCCGCACAUCGAGCUAGUGUCGCUUCGGACCAAAGGGAUUUCUUCCUCCUGCCUAUAUGGUCCCGGUUCGAGCCGGACUUGCCACCUAUAAUGGCGGAGAGCAAGCGGAGAACGCCCCCAAUCCCUCCAAAGGAGAGCGGGUAUGCCUUGUCCCUUAUUUAAUAAGAGGGCUCGGAUUUCCAAUUCAUCCAUUUCUCCGGGGGCUCCUGGAGUUCUACGGCCUCCAGCUGCACAACCUCAUGCCUGUCUCCGUAUUGCAUAUUGCGGGCUUCGUAGCCCUUUGCGAGUUGUUUUUGGGUGUUGAGGCUCAUUUCGCGCUGUGGAAGAGGCUAUUUUGCCUUGUGCCCUGUUCUUAGGAGGGGUCAAUAUAUCAAGUGGGCGGAGCCAAAGUGUGGUGUAUCGCCAGGACCGGAUAUCUAUCCGGAACCCCAAAGAAGGCGUCCGAGGACUGGCCUUCAGAAUGGUUUUAUAUAGAGGACGUCCCGUUGCCGGAUCCUGUUCGGAUCGGCCUCCCUGAGUUCAACAGCGCUCCCCUGAAGAAACGUCUAAGCUGGCACCCACGGAGCCCUCAGAGAGAAAGUGACAAGGACGUUCUUUACCUGAUGGGCCGGAUAAGAUUAUUAGCUCAUUCCGGACUAACCAUGAUCGGAGUCAUGGCCGCAUGCAUCAUGCGAGGGGUGCAACCGCUUCAGUACAGAGGCCACCCCAUGUGGGACUUCAACGGGGAGGAUGAUGCCACCCGUCACGGCCGUAAGGGGCCGGACUCGGCUACCGCUCUAGUAAAGAUCUUGUCCGCUUUGUACAAGGGAGAAGAGGAGGAAUUUCUCCGCGUCAACCCACAGGGUGGAUUUACCAUGUACAAUCCCCCAAGUUGGGUAAGUGGGCAAUUUUACUUGCCCGUCUGUUUUGUAUUCCCAUCAUUAAAUAUAUAGUCUAACGACUUCAACGCAGGAACUGCGCCAGGAAGUAAAGGACAUAAACAGCCCGCCUCCACAGCCUGAGGACCCAGAGUUGUCCCUCGAUCCGGCCUCCGAAGAGGAUCCGGACUUAUCCAUGGAGUUAAUUGAUGGGGUGUUUUAUCAAUUGAGCAAGGACAAUGCCUUGGUGGCCAUUAAGGCCGAUUACCCGGGGCUGCUCCCGGCCUCCCAGGUAACUGAGACCGAAGUCCUAGCACCUCAAAAAGGGAUCCGCCCUCGCGUGUUUUUCAGUUUCCUGACAACAACCGUGUUUUGUAGGGGAGGUUCUUGAGACGGGAGGCCGAGCCUGCGGUGACUAGCCAACGAGGGGCCACAGGGCCCCGUGGGAUGAAAAGAAGUGCAGUCCGGACUGAGGCACCGGCGCAGAGGUAUAGCGCGCCUUCUUAUUCCCAGGUGUUAUUCCUUCAAGGCAUAUUAACACUCGUGCUCUUUUCAGGACAAAAAGACCCCGCCGGACUAUAUCCAGAGAGGCUGCCAAUCGCGCCUCCACCAGCCAGGAUCCAAAGCCUGGUCCGGAGACGGAGGCGAACACGAGGCGCGCACCGGACGCUCCUCCAACAGAUGAUGCGGACAGGCUGUCCGCCACUAAUUCCGAGGUGGAGAGUGCCAUGAACCACAGGCGUCGCCGGACAGUUCUUCGCGACGCUUGUUUCUCCCAAGAGGCAUUGGACGCCUUCAAUUCGGGAGAUGCGUACCUUCGUGCCGCUCAAAAUGGUCUAGCCAGAGCCACGGAGCAAUAUGUAAAAGACAUACGGGUGAGAAAAUUUAAUGGUUAUAUAUAUCAGUAGCCCCCGAGACUUGAAACAGUUAGAAGAACUGAUUUAAGGAUCAUUCAUAAUGCAGGUUCUUGCGGAAAAGAAUACCCAACUGUCCCAGGAGCUAGAAGAGUGCAAAGCCCAACUUGAGGCCGCACUAGCCGCGACAGGGGAGCCCAAGGAGACCCCCUCUGGUAAUAUGUGCUUCAAAAAGAGAAGUAUUUUGUGAAGUGCGGCGUAUGUGCAAAUCUGACGAAUGAAAUUGCAGAUGGCGCCGGAUUAGAUCCGGAAAAGCAACAAAUCCUACGCCAGCUAAAGGCUGGUGAGAGCGUGCUGACAAAGGUGAGGCGGGAGAAGAACGAUCUCCAAUAUGCCAACACCAAGCUGGGCGUUGAACUGAAAGAUGUUUGUGCCCAGUUGUCAGACUCCGCUAAGGAGAAUCAGCGGCUUCGACGCGGCAUAUUUAGUAAGUGCUUAAACGAACUUUGAAUAAAGAGUUCGACAAGGAAGUCGACUAACGGAGUAAUGUCUGUAGGUAUGCUAACAGGUCGUCCUGCAGAGGAGAUGCCCGGUUCUAUGGGUGACCUUCUUCUUGAGCUCUUGCAACUGCACGAGCGAGUUCAACAGGUGAUGCAGGGCGUCGCCCAGGCCUUGUGGCCAUCCAUCUCCAUGCCCGAAGGACUUGGAGAGGUUGCAGAGAAGCUGAAGGGAGCGCGGCGGCGCUUCCGAUUGUGGAAGAUAUCGGCCUGCCGUCAAGGCGCUAGGGAGGCCUGGGCCAUGGUGAAGACGCGGUACACGAAGGCUGACCCAAACCACAUGGCCGAGGUCGGACCUGUGGGGCCCGAUGGGAAGGAGAUCCCUGUAAGCUUAGUAUACGGCCAAGUAGAAUUGCCCGCAAAGUAUUCCCAGCAGGACUGUAAGCUAGACAGCAUGUUAGAUGGUAUUGAAGAGGAAUACAAUUAGUCAUAAUGACUAUGUAAUUUUAAUUGACAUGUGUAAUGCCUUCUAGCCGGAUUGUAGAUCGUUUUUCAUGGCCGACCUUUUUGCUUCGACCUCGGGACCUGACGGUCCGGAGUGUGUCCGAAUACCCUUGCGGUUAUAUAAGAACCGGGGUAUGCAUGGAGACCAGGCGUAGGGGUCAUUAGUGCUUGAACAGACAAGUGCCCGACUAGUUAUGUUAUAUUACAUGGUUAGUAAGAAACAUCUUCCAGGGAGAAUAGUUCCGUUAGGGGUUCCUUUCCCUGGGAGGCAUGCCCUAAAGUGCAUGUCCAUUCUGCGAAAAGAGACGCAGGAAAAAACAUCUGGGGGCGCAUAGAUAAAUAAGUGAAAAAAAUCAUCUUUAGUUCACCGACCGAAUAUUCCCUUAAGGACGCUAGCUUUCGGCUUCACCCAGUCUGAGGUACACAUCGGGCUGACCCGGCAGUAACAAUCGCAGAGGUGCUCCCUUUACCACCUAGCCGAACAAUCGGAAACAUAGGGCUAAGCACAGGAGCCAGGCAACCCAGCUUGGCUAAAACUUAAGUCAUAUCGAUACAUAUGAUGGUGAAUAAAAGGUACAUGCGGAAGUGUGACACAUGUGUUGGGCAUGAAGCCCGUAUAAGCUUCUGUUCAAAGAAGCCCCCAGGUUUAGUGAGCGCGGAUAGCGCGUCACUUGAUGAGCCUUUAAAGGCUAUAAGAGAAAGGAGGGGGAGAAGGAGAAAAUGGAAGACAGAAAAUAUAAAAAAUGGACAGAGGAAGGAGACGAACAUAGAAUCCGGCGCUAGGCAUAGAAUCUUCGGAGACGGGCUGCGUUCCAUGGGUUCGGCUCGAGUCGGUUAUCCGAUGCAUCUCACAGGCGGUACGUUCCACCAGUCAGGACUUGGUCAAUUAUGAAGGGACCUUCCCACUUGGGCUGGAGUUUGUCCUUUUUCUUGUCCGGCAGGCGUAGAACUAGUUCGCCAACAUUGUAAUUUUUGGCCCGUACUUCUCUGCUUUGAUAUCUUCGAGCCUGCUGUUGAUAGAAUGCGGAACGGGCUUUUGCCACGUCACGCUCCUCCUCCAAGGCGUCCAAACUGUCCUGCCGAUCGAGCUCGGCUUCUCUUUCUUCGUACAUGUGCACUCAAGGUGAGUCAUGAAUUAUAUCGCAGGGCAAAACUGCUUCUGCGCCGUACACCAUGAAGAAUGGUGUGUAUCCGGUGGUGCGAUUCGGCGUGGUCCGCAGCCCCCAGAGUACGGAGUCGAGCUCCUCUACCCAGUGCGUGUUAGAUUCCUUAAGGGACCGCACUAAUCUGGGUUUGAUGCCGCUCAUGAUAACACCAUUUGCGUGUUCGACCUGUCCGUUAGUUUGUGGGUGAUAGACGGAAGCAGAAUCGAGCUUGAUGCCCAUGUUUUUGCACCAGAGUUUUACCUCAUCGACCGUAAAGUUCGUACCGUUAUCAGUGAUGAUGCUGUGGGGGACGCCGUAACGGUGUACGACCCCGGAUAUAAAGUCUAUCACUGGUACAGAUUCGGCCGUCUUAAUAGGCUUGGCCUCUAUCCAUUUGGUGAACUUAUCCACCAUGACCAGUAAGUAUUUUUUCUUGUGGGUUCCGCCUUUAAGGGGUCCAACCAUGUCAAGCCCCCAGACCGCGAAGGGCCAAGUGAUGGGGAUAGUUUGGAGGGCGGUGGGUGGCAUAUGGCUUUGGUUUGGCAAAAGCUGGCAACCGACGCAUCGUUGGACUAAGUCCUGAGCGUCUGCCCGGGCCGUUGGCCAAUAAAAGCCUGUACGGAAAGCCUUGCUUACGAGGGACCAAGCUGCGGUGUGAUGACCACCGAGUCCGGCAUGAAUUUCAGCCAGCAAGUUCCGCCCAUCCUCCUCAGAGAUGCACCUUUGAAGGACUCCGGUAGUGCUUUUCUUAUAAAGCUCUCCCUCAUGGACUUUAUAGGCUUUAGAUCGCCGCACUAUGCAGCGUGCCUCAUUUUGGUCUUCUGGGAGUUCCUGCCUAGUAAGAUAGGCUAGGAAUGGUUCUGUCCACGGGGCGAUGACUGCCAUUAUUACGUGGGCUGAAUAUGUGACUUCAUUGGCAGAGUCUCCAAUUAUGUCAGUGUUGGCUAACGUAGCAGAAAUUCAAAAUUUUCCUACGUGUCACCAAGAUCUAUCUAUGCAGAAACCAGCAACGAGGGGAAGGAGAGUGCAUCUACAUACCCUUGUAGAUCGCUAAGCGGAAGCGUUCAAGAGAACGGGGUUGAAGGAGUCGUACUCGUCGUGAUCCAAAUCACCGAUGAUCCUAGUGCCGAACGGACGGCACCUCCGCGUUCAACACACGUACAGCCCGGUGACGUAUCCCACGCCUUGAUCCAGCAAGGAGAGAGGGAGAGGUUGAGGAAGACUCCAUCCAGCAGCAGCACAACGGCGUGGUGGUGGUGGAGGAGCGUGGCAAUCCUGCAGGGCUUCGCCAAGCACCACGGGAGAGGAGGAAGGAGAGAUGCAGGGCUGCAUCAUAUAGAGGAGAGGAACUCGCGUCUUAUGAGCAGCCCAAACCUCAACUAUAUAUAGGGGAAGGGGAGGGGCUGCGCCCCCUUUAGGGUUUCCACCCCUAGGGGUGGCGGCCAGCCUAGAUCCCAUCUAAGGGAGGCGGCCAAGGGGGAGGGGGAGAGGGAGGCGCACCAGGAUGGGCCUUAGGGCCCAUCUGCCCUAGGGUUUGCCCCCUUCUCCUCUCCCUUGCGCCUUGGGCCCUUGUGGGGGGGCGCACCAGCCCACCUGGGGCUGGUCCCCUUCCACACUUGGCCCAUGAAGCCCUCCGGGGCUGGUGGCCCCACUUGGUGGACCCCCGGGACCCUCCCGGUGGUCCCGGUACGUUACCGAUAAACCCCGAAACUUUUCCGGUGACCAAAACAGGACUUCCCAUAUAUAAAUCUUUACCUCCGGACCAUUCGGGAACUCCUCAUGACGUCCGGGAUCUCAUCCGGGACUCCUAACAACAUUCGGUAACCACAUACAAACUUCCUUUAUAACCCCAGCGUCAUCGAACCUUAAGUGUGUAGACCCUACGGGUUCGGGAGACAUGCAUACAUGACCGAGACGUUCUCCGGUCAAUAACCAACAGCGGGAUCUGGAUACCCAUGUUGGCUCCCACAUGUUCCACGAUGAUCUCAUCGGAUGAACCACGAUGGCAAGGACUUAAUCAAUCCCGUAUACAAUUCCCUUUGUCUAUCUGUACGAUACUCGCCCGAGAUUCGAUCGUCGGUAUCCCGAUACCUUGUUCAAUCUUGUUACCGGCAAGUCUCUUUACUCGUUCCGUAACACAUCAUCCCAUGAUCAACUCCUUGAUCACAUUGUGCACAUUAUGAUGAUGUCCUACCGAGUGGGCCCAGAGAUACCUCUCCGUCACACGGAGUGACAAAUCCCAGUCUCGAUUCGUGCCAACCCAACAGACACUUUCAGAGAUACCCGUAGUGUACCUUUAUAGCCACCCAGUUACGUUGUGACGUUUGGCACACCCAAAGCACUCCUACGGUAACCGGGAGUUGCACAAUCUCAUGGUCUAAGGAAAUGAUACUUGACAUUAGAAAAGCUUUAGCAUACGAACUACUUAGGAUUGGGUCUUGUCCAUCACAUCAUUCUCCUAAUGAUGUGAUCCCGUUAUCAACGACAUCCAAUGUCCAUGGUCAGGAAACCGUAACCAUCUAUUGAUCAACGAGCUAGUCAACUAGAGGCUUACUAGGGACAUGGUGUUGUCUAUGUAUCCACACAUGUAUCUGAGUUUCCUAUCAAUACAAUUCUAACAUGGAUAAUAAACGAUUAUCAUGAACAAGGAAAUAUAAUAAUAAUCAAUUUAUUAUUGCCUCUAGGGCAUAUUUCCAACAGUCUCCCACUUGCACUAGAGUCAAUAAUCCAGUUCACAUCGCUAUGUGACUAACACUCAAGGUCACAUGCCCAUGUGACUAACACCCAAAGAGUUUACUAGAGUCAAUAAUCUAGUUCACAUUUACCAUGUGAUUAACACUCGAUGAGUUCUGGGUUUGAUCAUGUUAUGCUUGUGAGAGAGGUUAUAGUCAACGGGUCUGAACCUUUCAGAUCCGUGUGUGCUUUACAAAUCUCUAUGUCAUCUCCUAGAUGCAGCUACCACGCUCUAUUUGGAGCUAUUCCAAAUAGCUGUUCUACUAUACGAAUCCAGUUUACUACUCAGAAUAAUCUGGAUUAGUGUCAAAGUUUGCAUCGGUGUAACCCUUUACGAUGAACUCUUUUACCACCUCCAUAAUCGAGAAAAUUCCUUAGUCCACUAGUUACUAAGGAUAACUUUGACCGCUGUCCUGUGAUCCAUUCUUGGAUCACUCUUGUACCCCUUGACUGACUCAUGGCAAGGCACACUUCAGGUGCGGUACAUAGCAUAGCAUACUGUAGAGCCUAUGUCUUAAGCAUAGGGGACGACCUUCGUUCUUUCUCUCUAUUCUGCCGUGGUCGAGCUUUAAGUCUUAACUUCAUACCUUACAACUCAGGCAAGAACUCCUUCUUUGACUGAUCCAUCUUGAACACCUUCAAGAUCAUGUCAAGGAAUGUGCUCAUUUGUAAGUACCAUUAAGUGUUUUGAUCUAUCCUUAUAGAUCUUGAUGCUCAAUGUUCAAACAGCUUAAUCCAGGCUUUCCAUUGAAAAAACACUUUCCAAAUAACCCUAUAUGCUUUCCAGAAAUUCUACGUCAUUUCUGAUCAACAAUAUGUCAACAACAUAUAUUCAUCAGAAAUUCUAUAGUGCUCCCACUCACUUCUUUGGAAAUACAAGUUUCUCAUAAACUUCGUAUUCACCCAAAAUCUUUGAUCAUCUCAUCAAAGCAUACAUUCCAACUCGAGAUGCUUACUCCAGUCCUUAGAAGGAUUGCUGGAGCUUUGCAUACUUAUUAGCAUAUUUCAGGAUUGACAAAACCUUCCGGUUGUAUCACAUACAACCUUUCCUCAAAAAUCGUCGAGGAAACAAUGUUUUGACAUCCUAUCUGCAAGAUUUCAUAAAUGAUGCAGUAAUUGCUAAUAUAAUUCCAACAGACUCUUAGCAUCGCUAUGAGUGAGAAAGUCUCAUCGUAGUCAACUCCUUGAACUUGUCGGAAAACAUCUUAAUGACAAGUCGAGCUUUCUUAAUGGUGAUACUUACCAUCAUUGUCCGUCUUCCUUUUAAAAUCCAUAUGUACCUAACAGCCUUACGACCAUCAAGUAGUUCUUCCAAAGUCUACACUUUGUUUUCACAUAUGGAUCCUCUCUCGGAUUAUAUGGCCUUGAGCCAUUUUGGAAUCCAUGCCCACCAUCGCUCCUCCAUAGCUCGUAGGUUCAUCGUUGUCUAGCAACAUGACUUCCAAGACAGGAUUACGUACCAUUCUGAAGCAGUACACAUCCUUGUCAUCCCACGAGGUUUGGUAGUGACUUGAUCUGAAGUUUCAUGAUCACUAUCAUAAGCUUCCACUUCAAUUGGUGUAGGUGCCACAGGAACAACUCCCUGUGCCCUGCCACACACUAGUUGAAGAGAUGGUUCAAUAACCUCAUCAAGUCUCCACCAUCCUCCCACUCAAUUCUUUCGAGAGAAACUUUUCCUCGAGAAAGGACCCGAUUCUAGUAACAAUCCCUUAUUGCUUUCGAAUCUGAGACAGGAGGUAUACCCAACCGUUUUGGGUGUCCUAUGAAGAUGUAUUUAUCCGCUUUGGGUUCGAGCUUAUCGGCCUGAAACUUUUUCACAUAAGCGUCGCAGCCCCAAACUUUUAAGAAAUGACAGCUUAGGUUUCUCUAAACCAUAGUUCAUACGGUGUCAUCUCAUCAGAAUUACGUGGUGCCCUAUUUAAAGUGAAUGUGGUUGUCUCUAAUGCCUAACCCAUAAACUAUUGUGGUAAUUCGAUAAGAGACAUCAUGGUAUGCAUCAUAUCCAAUAGGGUGCAGUUAUGAUGUUCGGACACACCAUCACACUAUGGUGUUCCAGGCUGUAUCAGUUGUGAAACAAUUUCCACAAUGUCUUAAUUCUGUGCCAAACUCGUAAUUCAGAUAUUCAUCUCUAUGAUCAUAUCAUAGAUAUUUUAUCCUCUUGUCACGAUGAUCUUUCAACUUCACCCUGAAAUUACUUGAACCUUUCAAUAAUUCAGACUCGUGAUUCAUCAAGUAAAUAUACUCAACAUCUACUCAAAUCAUCUAUGAAGUAAGAACAUAACGAUAUCCACUACAUGCCUCAGCACUCAUUGGACUGCACACAUCAAAAUGUAUUACUUCCAACAAGUUGCUUUCUAGUUCCAUUUUACUGAAACUGAGGCUUUCAGUCAUCUUGCCCAUGUGGUAUGAUUUGCAUGUCUCAAGUGAUUCAAAAUCAAGUGAGUCCAAAUGGUCCAUUUGCAUGGAGUUUCUUCAUGCAUAUACACCAAUAGACAUGGUUCGCAUGUCUCAAACUUUUCAAAAACGAGUGAUCCCAAAGAUCCAUCAACAUGGAGCUUCUUCAUGCGUUUUAUACCGAUAUGACUUACGUGGCAGUGCCACAAGUAGGUGGUACUAUCAUUACUAUCUUAUAUCUUUUGGCAUGAACAUGUGUAUCACUACGAUCGAGAUUCAAUAAACCAUUCAUUUUAGGUGCAAGACCAUUGAAGGUAUUAUUCAAAUGAACAGAGUAACCAUUAUUCUCCUUAAAUGAAUAGCCGUAUUGCGAUAGACAUAAUCCAAUCAUGUCUAUGCUCAACGCAAACAGCAAAUAACAAUUAUUUAGGUUUAACACCAAUCUCGAUGGUAGAGGGAGCGUGCGAUGCUUGAUCAUAUCAACAUUGGAAACACUUCCAACACAUAUCGUCAGCUCACCUUUAGCUAGUCUCCGUUUAUUCCGUAGCUUUUAUUUCAAGUUACAAACACUUAGCAACCGAACCGGUAUCUAAUACCCUGGUGCUACUAGGAGUACCAGUAAAGUACACAUUAACACAAUGUAUAUCCAAUAUACUUCUAUCGACCUUGCCAGCCUUCUCUUCUACCAAGUAUCUAGGGUAAUUCUGCUCCAGUGGCUGUUCCCCUUAUUACAGAAGCACUUAGUCUCGGGUUUGGGUUCAACCUUGGGUUUCUUCACUAGAGCAGCAGCUGAUUUGCCGUUUCAUGAAGUAUCCCUUCUUGCCCUUGCCCUUCUUGAAACUAGUGGUUUCACCAACCAUCAACAAUUGAUGCUCCUUCUUGAUUUCUACUUUUGUGGUGUCAAACAUCGCGAAUAUCUCAAGGAUCAUCAUAUAUGUCCCUGAUAUAUUAUAGUUCAUCACGAAGCUCUAGCAGCUUGGUGGUAAUGACUUCGGAGAAACAUCACUUUCUCAUCUGGAAGAUCAACUCCCACUCGAUUCAAAUGAUUGUUGUACUCAGACAAUCUGAGCACAAGCUCAACAAUUGAGCUUUUCUCCCUUAGUUUGCAGGCUAAGAAAAUCGUCAGAGGUCUUAUACCUCUUGACGUGGGCACGAGCCUGAAAUCCAAAUUUCAGCCCUCGAAACAUCUCAUAUGCUUCGCGGCGUUUCAAAACGUCUUCGGUGCCUCAACUCUAAACCGUUUAACUAAACUAUCACGUAGUUAUCAAAAUGUGUAUGUCAGAUGUUCGCAACAUCCACAGACAACGUUCGAGGUUCAGCACAUUGAGUGGUGCAUUAAGGACAUAAGCCUUCUAUGAAGCAAUGAGGACAAUCCUCAGUUUACGGACCUAGUCCGCAUAAUUGCUACUAUCAACUUUCAACUAAUUUUUUUCUCUCUAGGAACAUAUCUAAACAGUAGAACUAAAGUGCGAGCUAUGACAUAAUUUGCAAAAUCCUUUUGACUAUGUUGAGGAUAAACAAGUUGAUCUUAUGAACUUCCACUCAGAUAGAUAUCCCUCUAGUCAUCUAAGUGAUUACAUGAUCCGAGUCAACUAGGCCGUGUCCGAUCAUCACGUGAGACGGACUAGUCAUCAUCGGUGAACAUCUUCAUGUUGAUCGUAUCUACCAUACGACUCAUGCUCGACCUUUCGGUCUCUUGUGUUCCGAGGCCAUGUCUGUACAUGCUAGGCUCGUCAAGUCAACCUAAGUGUUUCGGGUGUGUAAAUCUGUCUUACACCCGUUGUAUGUGAACGUUAGAAUCUAUCACACCCGAUCAUCACGUGGUGCUUCGAAACGACGAACUUUCGCAACGGUGCACAGUUAGGGGGAACACUUUCUUGAAAUUUUAAUGAGGGAUCAUCUUAUUUACUACCGUCGUUCUAAGCAAAUAAGAUGUAUAAACAUGAUAAACAUCACUUGCAAUCAAAUAGUGACAUGAUAUGGCCAAUAUCAUAGUGCUCCUUUUGAUCUCCAUCUUCGGGGCUCCAUGAUCAUCAUCACCGGCAUGACACCAUGAUCUCCAUCAUCAUGAUCUCCAUCAUCGUGUCUUCAUGAUGUUGUCUCGCCAACUAUUACUUCUACUACUACAGCUAACGGUUAGCAAUAAAGUAAAGUAAUUACAUGGCGUUGUUUAAUGACAAGCAGGUCAUAUAAUAAAUUAAGAAACUCCUAUGGCUCCUGCCGGUUGUCAUACUCAUCGACAUGCAAGUCGUGAUUCCUAUUACAAGAACAUGAUCAAUCUCAUACAUCACAUAUCAUUCAUCACAUUCUUCUUGGCCAUAUCACAUCACAUAGCAUACCCUGCAAAAACAAGUUAGACGUCCUCUAAUUGUUGUUUGCAUGUUUUACAUGGCUGCUAUGGGUUUCUAGCAAGAACGUUUCUUACCUAGGCAAAACCACAACGUGAUAUGCCAAUUGCUAUUUACCCUUCAUAAGGACCCUUUUCAUCGAAUCCGAUCCGACUAAAGUGGGAGAGACAAACACCCGCCAGCCACCUUAUGCAACUAGUGCAUGUUUGUCGGUGGAACCGGUCUCACGUAAGCGUACGUGUAAGGUUGGUCUGGGCCGCUUCAUCCCACAAUGCCGCCGAAUCAAGAUUGGACUAGUAACGGUAAGCAUAUUGAACAAAAUCAACGCCCACAACUACUUUGUGUUCUACUCGUGCAUAGAAUCUACGCAAUAGACCUAGCUCAUGAUGCCACUGUUGGGUAACGUAGCAGAAAUUCAAAAUUUUCCUACGUGUCACCAAGAUCUAUCUAUGGAGAAACCAGCAACGAGGGGAAGGAGGGUGCAUCUACAUACCCUUGUAGAUCGCUAAGCGGAAGCGUUCAAGAGAACGGGGUUGAAGGAGUCGUACUCGUCGUGAUCCAAAUCACCGAUGAUCCUAGUGCCGAACGGACGGCACCUCCGCGUUCAACACACGUACAGCCCGGUGACGUAUCCCACGCCUUGAUCCAGCAAGGAGAGAGGGAGAGGUUGAGGAAGACUCCAUUCAGCAGCAGCACAACGGCGUGAUGGUGGUGGAGGAGCGUGGCAAUCCUGCAGGGCUUCGCCAAGCACCACGGGAGAGGAGGAAGGAGAGAUGCAGGGCUGCGUCAUAUAGAGGAGAGGAACUCGCGUCUUAUGAGCAGCCCAAACCUCAACUAUAUAUAGGGGAAGGGGAGGGGCUGCGCCCCCUUUAGGGUUUCCACCCCUAGGGGUGGCGGCCAGCCUAGAUCCCAUCUAAGGGAGGCAGCCAAGGGGGAGGGGGAGAGGGAGGCGCACCAGGAUGGGCCUUAGGGCCCAUCUGCCCUAGGGUUUGCCCCCUUCUCCUCUCCCUUGCGCCUUGGGCCCUUGUGGGGGGGGGGGGAGCACCAGCCCACCUGGGGCUGGUCCCCUUCCACACUUGGCCCAUGAAGCCCUCCGGGGCUGGUGGCCCCACUUGGUGGACCCCCGGGACCCUCCCGGUGGUCCCGGUACGUUACCGAUAAACCCCGAAACUUUUCCGGUGACCAAAAUAGGACUUCCCAUAUAUAAAUCUUUACCUCCGGACCAUUCCGGAACUCCUCGUGACGUCCGGGAUCUCACCCGGGACUCCGAACAACAUUCGGUAACCACAUACAAACUUCCUUUAUAACCCUAGAGUCAUCGAACCUUAAGUGUGUAGACCCUAUGGGUUCGGGAGACAUGCAGACAUGACCGAGACGUUCUCCGGUCAAUAACCAACAGCGGGAUCUGGAUACCCAUGUUGGCUCCCACAUGUUCCACGAUGAUCUCAUCGGAUGAACCACGAUGUCAAGGACUUAAUCUAUCCCGUAUACAAUUCCCUUUGUCUAUCGGUACGAUACUCGCCCGAGAUUCGAUCGUCGGUAUCCCGAUACCUUGUUCAAUCUCAUUACCGGCAAGUCUCUUUACUCGUUCCGUAACACAUCAUCCCGUGAUAAACUCCUUGAUCACAUUGUGCACAUUAUGAUGAUGUCCUACCGAGUGGGCCCAGAGAUACCUCUCCGUCACACGGAGUGACAAAUCCCAGUCUCGAUUCGUGCCAACCCAACAGACACUUUCGAAGAUACCCGUAGUGUACCUUUAUAGCCACCCAGUUACGUUGUGACGUUUGGCACACCCAAAGCACUCCUACGGUAACCGGGAGUUGCACAAUCUCAUGGUCUAAGGAAAUGAUACUUGACAUUAGAAAAGCUUUAGCAUACGAACUACACGAUCUAGUGCUAUGCUUAGGAUUGCGUCUUUUCCAUCACAUCAUUCUCCUAAUGAUGUGAUCCCGUUAUCAACGACAUCCAAUGUCCAUGGUCAGGAAACCGUAACCAUCUAUUGAUCAACGAGCUAGUCAACUAGAGGCUUACUAGGGACAUGGUGUUGUCUAUGUAUCCACACAUGUAUCUGAGUUUCCUAUCAAUACAAUUCUAGCAUGGAUAAUAAACGAUUAUCAUGAACAAGGAAAUAUAAUAAUAAUCAAUUUAUUAUUGCCUCUAGGGCAUAUUUCCAACAGUCAGAUUGUUCGGUGUUGGGCAGUGCGGUUGAGUCCGGGCUGUUAUUGCCGGGUUCCCCUUCCCAUACUACGGACGGCUUGAAUAGCCUUUCCAAGAAGAUGUUGGGAGGGACUGCAUCGCGUUUUGCGCCGAUGCGUGCCAGGACAUCCGCCGCCUGAUUAUUUUCCCGGGCUAUAUGGUGAAAUUCGAGCCCUUCGAACCGAGCUGACAUUUUUAAGACGACGUUGCGAUAAGCUGCCAUUUUUGGAUCCUUGGCAUCGAAGUCUCUGUUUAUUUGGGAUAUUGCAAGGUUCGAAUCCCCUCGCACUUCUAGGCGUUGAAUACCCAUGGAUACUGCCAUCUAGAGACCAUGUAAGAGGGCCUCGUAUUCGGCUGCAUUGUUGGAGUCUGUGUACAUAAUCUGGAGUACAUAUUGAACUAUGUCUCCUGUGGGGGACGUCAAAACGACGCCAGCCCCCAGACCGGCCAACAUUUUGGAGCCGUAGAAAUGCAUGAUCCAGUUUUAAUAUGUGCCGUACUCUUUAGGGAGUUCAGCCUCCGUCCAUUCUGUGACGAAGUCAGCCAAAACUUGCGACUUGAUAGCUCGCCGUGGCUUAUAAGUUAUGUCGAACGAGAGGAGCUCGAUGGCCCAUUUCGCAAUCCGGCCCGUUGCGUCGCGGUUGUUUAUAAUAUCGUUUAGUGGUACUUCUGAGGCUACUGUUAUUGAACACUCUUGAAAGUAGUGUCGCAGCUUCCGGGAUGCCAUGAAUACCGCGUACGCAAUCUUUUGAUAAUGCGGGUACCUUGAUUUGCACGGAGUGAGGACAGUGGCCACAUAAUAGACCGGCUUCUGAAGGGGGAAUUUGUGUCCGUCCGUUUCUCGUUCGACGACGAGCACUGCGCUCACAACCUGAUGGGUUGCUGCAAUGUAUAAUAGCAUUGGUUCGCCAAUGUUUGGCGCGGCCAGGACUGGGUUUGUUGCCAAUAUGGCUUUUAUUUUGUCGAGUCCGGCCGUGGCUGCGUCCGUCCACUCGAAGUGUUCGGUGCGCCGAAGGAGGCGGUAAAGGGGGAGUGCCUUUUCUCCCAAGCGGGAGAUAAAGCGGCUUAGAGCCGCCACGCAUCCGGUUUACUUUUGUAUUUGUUUGAGGUCCUUUGGGAUAUCCAAUUGUGACAGAGCUCGGAUCUUGGCUGGAUUUGCUUCAAUUCCUCUACCGAAUACAAUGAAGCCCAAGAGCUUACCGGCUGGAACGCCGAAAACGCAUUUUUCCGGGUUGAGCUUGAUGUCGUAUGUUCGAAGGUUAUCAAAUGUGAGCCUCAAGUCGUCUACUAGGGAUUCAACAUGUCUUGUUUUUACGACCACAUCAUCUACGUAUGCCUCCACUGUUUUGCCGAUCUGGUUUGCCAGACAUGUCUGAAUCAUGCGCUGAUAUGUUGUUUUGAGCCCGAAGGGCAUUGUGUUGAAGCAGAAUGGGCCGUAUGGUGUGAUGAAUGCCGUUGCGGCUUGGUCUGAUUCUGCCAUCUUGAUUUGAUGGUAGCCGGAAUAUGCGUCGAGCAAGCACAACAAAUCGUGUCCUACAGUAGCGUUGAUAAUUUGAUCGAUGCGAGGGAGGGGGAAGGGAUCCUUUGGGCAAGCCUUAUUAAGGUCUUUAAAAUCAACGCACAGGCGCUAGGAUUUGUCCUUCUUUGGUACCAUCACCAGGUUUGCUAGCCAGUUCGGAUGUUUUAUAUCUCUGAUGGAUCCGGCCUCUAAUAGCUUGGCUAGCUCCUCUCCCAUGGCCUGUCUCUUAGGUUCGGAAAAACGCCGAAGAGCCUGUUUGACAGGUUUGAAUCCUUUAGGAUAUUUAAGCUGUGUUCGGCCAGCCUGCGUGGGAUUCCUGGCAUGUCUGAAGGGUGCCAGGCGAAAAUGUCCCAGUUCUCACGUAGGAACUCUCGUAGUGCGGCGUCUACAUCAGGGUUUAAUUGUGCACCGAUGGAAGCUGUUUUAUUGGGGUCCGUUGGAUGGACCUGGAAUUUGACUAUUUCGUCCGCUGGUUUAAAUGAGGUGGACUUGGAUAUUUUGUCGAGUAUCACAUCAUCCCUGUUCACCGUGGAGCGCAGCGCAGUCAGCUCCUCAGCCGCUAGGGCUUCGGAUAGUGCCUCAAGGGCCAGUGCGACUGUCUUAUUUUAGGCGCGGAGUGCUAUGUCCAGAUCACUAGCGAGAGUGAUGAUUCCGUUCGGCCCGGGCAUCUUGAGUUUCAUGUACCCAUAAUGGGGUAUUGCUUGGAAGAUUGUGAACGCUUCCCGCCCUAGCAGAGCAUGGUAUCCGCUACUGAACGGGACCACUUGGAACGUGACCUCCUUGGACCUGUAAUUAUCCGGCGUGCCGAACACCACAUCUAGUGUGAUUUUUCCUGUACAGCACGCUUCCUGACUGGGGAUUAUUCCUCUAAAGGUUGUGCUGCUUCGCUCAAUGCGGUUCCAGUCUAUUUCCAUUUUUUGAAGGGUUUCCUCAUAAAUGAGGUUCAAUCCGCUGCCUCCAUCCAUGAGUACCUUGGUAAGGCGAAAGCCGUCCACUAUUGGACUGAGGACCAAUGUGGCUGGUGCUCGGGCUGUUCGGAAUUUAGGUUCAUCACUGGCAUUAAAAGUAAUAGCCGUGUCACUCCAUGGGUUUAUUGUUGCUACUUGGUAGACUUCGGCAAGGCUGCGGAGUGUUCUUUUUCGCAUAUUAUUUGAUGCGGAAGUCUCGAAGACUGUUAAUACCGUACCGGUAUCCCUGGGGUGGCUUUCUAUGGCCUCCGGAAUUAGGAGAUCUUUGCCAAUUUUGGCCACCUGCCGGAGUAUCCAACAUGCUCUAAGGCUGUGAGUUGGUGUGGCGCCCUCUGUACUGUGAAUUUUACAGGGUCGAUUAAGCCAUCCUUCCAAUACGCUUCCAUGCCCUGUAGAGGAUUUUUGCUUUUUGGUGUUUAACCCGGGUGUCUGGCGAAGAUGCACCCUUUUAUUUUGGACUGGGUUUGUAUUCAGGGCCGGAUUGUCCCAAAAUUUUAUUUUGGUUUUCCAGUCGCUAUCCAUCGCAUAGUACUUUCGUACUAUGGACGCCAAGUCAGCGAAGCAUGUAAUAUCACGGCGACUUAUGGCGUUGAGGAUUCCCUUGUCCGUGCAAUUAUUGCAGAAGAAUGAGAUUGCGUCUUCCUCGCGGCAGUCCUUGAUCCUGUUCAUAGCCAGGAGGAAUCUGGCCCAGUAAUGAUGUACUGUUUCUUCGGGCUUUUGCCUAAUUUGGGAUAGAUCGCUUAUGUUCGGGUGGGUGGGUGGAAUUAAAUCCGAAAACUGACCCGAUAUGAGACUCAGAGGCCAAGGAGUUUCCGAACUCGGAAGUUUGGAUUCUUGGAUGUUGUCCAAUGAGUCUAGCCCGUCGCCUGACUCUAAGUUCAGGUCUUGAGUGAUGUCCUCCCUUCCGCGGGUAUCCGGCUUGGAGGGAUCGGGAAUCCAGACGUAACUAGUCCUUAAGAUAGAUGAAGGGUCGCCGCACUGUCCCUCUACCAUAGCAAUGUGAUGGGUGACCUGGGGAGAGUUAAUCUCUCUUAGAUCGGGUUUAGGCCCAAUCUGGUCAUAAUCCGUGGCGACUCCCAGGGCGGCGAUGCGAUCCAAGAGCUCGUUUAUGGAAGAGAGCUCCAUUGGAUCUAACUGCUCGGCGAGUUCCGAGCUGACAUGAAUACUGCUUUUGAUGACCCGAGAGGUCAUCGUCGGCGCAGCAGCCGAACAGGCGGUCAUAAGAAAACCGCCUAGCCGGAGAGUUUGGCCGACAGCCAAAGCUCCCUUAGCAACGGUUCCGUCUUUAAAGACGGGAUGAGGCAUCCUUCCUGAUGGCGACGGCACAGAGGAACUCUCAAUGAAAGCACCAAUGUCGGUGUCAAAACCGGCGGAUCUCGGGUAGGGGGUCCCGAACUGUGCGUCUAGGCGGAUGGUAACAGGAGACAAGGGACACGAUGUUUACCCAGGUUCGGGCCCUCUCGAUGGAGGUAAAACCCUACUCCUGCUUGAUUAAUAUUGAUGAUAUGGGUAGUACAAGAGUAGAUCUACCACGAGAUCAAGGAGGCUAAACCCUAGAAGCUAGCCUAUGGUAUGAUUGUUGUUGUCCUACGGACUAAAACCCUUCGGUUUAUAUAGACACCAGAGAGGGUUAGGGUUACACAGAGUCGGUUACAAUGGUAGGAGAUCUACAUAUCCGUACCACCAAGCUUGCCUUCCACGCCAAGGAAAGUCCCUUCCGGACAUGGGACGAAGUCUUCAAUCUUGUAUCUUCAUAGUCCGGGAGUCCGGCUGAAGGUAUAGUCCGGCUAUCCAGACACCCCCUAAUCCAGGACUCCCUCACCCAGGUUUUCAGCCAAGAUUAUAACUAACCAUGUCGACAAUAACUCUUAAACAUUAUAUUAACUCUUAUGAGUAGAGGCCGCGGGAAAAAGCCUAGUAGUAGCGCGGAUAAAAGACUAGUAGUAGUGCGGGUGCCCGUGCUACUACUACGGCGCUACAGCUAACUCGUAGUAGUAGCGCAGGUGCCACCCGCGCUACUAGUACGUGUGUUAGUAAUAGCGCGGAUUCUACACACGCUACUAUUAACUAUCUGUAGCGCCUGUCUGUGACCCGCGCUACUACUAUUAAUUUCAAAAACCAAAAAAAAAAUCUCGACCCCGUGCAUGUUGUCAAUGGUGUCAUUGAUUCGAUCCAGCGACAACAAGGGUUGCCGGAGGUGUGGACGGGUAGUGGCAGACCAGAUCCGGCGAUGGCUGUUGGAGAUGGCCGGAUCCAGUGUAGAGCAAGACGACGGUGUGAGGAUCCUCUUCGCGGUCAAGGCGGAGAACUCCUGGUUGGCCAUGUCGACGACCUGUGCAGGCAUGGGCAUGGGAGGUGAGUAAAACCAAAGGGAGAGGGAGAGGAGAGGGAGAGGGAAAAAGAGAAACAAGGGAGAAAGGAGGGAGAUGGAGGGUGUAUCGGGGCUGCAUGGAGGCGAGGAGGAAGACGGGCGAGCUCUUGGAUGCCAGCGAUGCGAGGAGGAAGACGUUGGGUGCCAUGGAGGAGGAGAUAUUCUUGGGCAGGAGCACCAUGGAGAGAGGGGGAAAGUGAGGGAGAGAGGAGGAAAGUGAGAGAGGGGGAAAGUGAGGGAGAGAGGAGGGAUUCGGCCGAGGAUAUGGAGAUUUCACCUACCUCGUACUUAGUAGUAGCGAGGGGUAUAAAACCGCGCUACUACUAUCAACAUAGUAGUAGCAUGGGUUUGUACCCCUCGCUACUACUAUGGCAUGUCCCGGGAGGGCACGGUAGACACCGCUUAGUAGUAGCGAGGGUGAAAAACCCGCGCUAAUAGUAUCAACUUAGUAGUAGCGAGGGGUAAAAACCCGUGCUACUAGUAAGUAGCAGUAGCGACGGUUAUAAACCCGUGCUACUAGUAAGCGUCUGCCUAUAAGCUUUUCCCUAGUAGUGGCAUAUCUAUGACAUAAUCAACUAGCGAGCAAUAAUAAGAUAUCUCAAACAACAACACGUUGUGAAAACAACCAUGAUAUAAUAUGACAAUAGUGGUAUCUCGCUAGCCCUUUCUAAGACCGCAAAACAUAAAUGUAGAGCACCUCCAAAGUUCAAGCAGCGACCAAACAUUGUAAUUCAUGGUAGAAAAGAUCUAGUCAUGAUGCACCCAACAUUAGCAACACAUAGUGCAUCAGCAUGUCAACAGUGCUCUCUGGAUUUGGCACUUAUUUUAGAAGGUGAUGACACAACAUAAAAGUAAAUAGAUAGUCCCUUCGCAGAGGGAAGCAGUGAUUUGCAGCGGUGCCAGAGCUCAAAAUUUAAAAAUAGAGGUAAAUGAAAUUUUGGGAAAUUGAUACGUCUCCAACGUAUCUAUAAUUUUUUAUUGUUCCAUGCUAUAUUAUAUUAUGUUUUGGAUGUUUAAUGGGCUUAUUUAUACACUUUUAUAUUAUUUUUGGGACUAACCUAUUAACCGGAGGCCCAGCCCAUAUUGUUGUUUUUGUUCCUAUUUCAGUGUUUCGCAAAAAAAAGAAUAUCAAACGGAAUGAAACCUUCGGGAACAUGAUUUUUAAAACAAACGUGAUUCAGAGGACUUGGAGUCCAUGUCAAGCAGUCAAUGAGGAGGGCACGAGGCAGGGGGCGCUCCUACCUCCCCCUAGGCGCGCCCUCCACCCUCAUGGGGCCCACGUUGCUCCACCGACGUACUUCUUCCUCCUAUAAUACCUACGUACCCCCAAACCAUCAGGGGCAUCCACGAAAACCUAAUUCCACCGCCGCAACCUUCUGUACACGUGAGAUCCCAUCUUGGGGCCUUUUCCGGCGUCCUGCCGAAGGGGGCAUUGAUCACGGAGGGCUUCUACAUCAACACCAUAGCCACUCCGAUGAUGUGUGAGUAGUUUACCUCAGACUUUCGGGUCCAUAGUUAUUAGCUAGAUGGCUUCUUCUCUCUCUUUGGAUCUCAAUACAAAGUUCUCCACGAUUCUCGUGGAGAUCUAUUCGAUGUAAUCUUCUUUUGCGGUGUGUUUGUUGGGACCGAUGAAUUGUGGAUUUAUGAUCAAGUUUAUCUAUGAACAAUAUUUGAAUAUCCUCUGAAUUCUUUUAUGUAUGAUUGGUUAUCUUUGCAAGUCUCUUCGAAUUAUCAGUUUGGUUUGGCCUACUAGAUUGAUCUUUCUUGCAAUGGGAGAAGUGCCUAGCUUUGGGUUCAAUCUUAUGGUGUCGUUUCCCAGUGACAGCAGGGGCAGCAAGGCACGUAUUGUAUUGUUGCCAUCGAGGAUAACAAGAUGGGGUUUAUAUCAUAUUGCAUGAGUUUAUCUCUCUACAUCAUGUCAUCUUGCUUAAAGCGUUACUCUGUUCUUAUGAACUUAAUACUCUAGAUGCAUGCUGGGUAGCGAUCGAUGUGUGGAGUAAUAGUAGUAGAUGCAGGCAGGAGUCGGUCUACUUGUCACGGACAUGAUGCAUAUAUACAUGAUCAUACCUAGAUAUUCUCAUAACUAUGCUCAAUUCUAUCAAUUGCUCGACAGUAAUUUUUUCACCCACCGUAAUACUUAUGCUUUUGAGAGAAGCCACUAAUGAAACAUAUGGCCCCCGGGUCUAUUUUCCAUCAUAUUAAUCUUCCAACACAUAGCCUUUUCUAUUGCCCUUUUAUUUUACUUUGCAUCUCUAUUUCUCUUUAUCAUAGAAAUACUAAAAAUAUUAUCUUAUCAUAUCUAUCAGAUCUCACUCUCGUUAGUGACCGUGAAGGGAUUGACAACCCCUUUAUCGCGUUGGUUGCGAGGUUCUUAUUUGUUUUGUGUAGGUGCGUGGGACUUGAGCGUGGCCUCCUACUGGAUUGAUACCUUUGUUCUCAAAACUGAGGGAAAUACUUACACUACUUUGCUGCAUCACCUUUUCCUCUUCAAGGGAAAAACCAACGCAGUGCUCAAGAGGUAGCAAGAAAGAUUUCUGGCGCCGUUGCCGGGAGUUUACGCAAAAGUCAACAUACCAAGUACCCAUCACAAACUCUUAUCCCUUGCAUUACAUUAUUUGCCAUUUGCCUCUCGUUUUCCUCUCCCUCACUUCACCCUUGCCGUUUUGUUCGCCCUCUCUUCCGCUCACCUUUCCUUCGCCAUGUCGGAACCAAAAAGAGUUGGGGGUUCUCUCCCGAGUUUUAGUACUUUGGACGAUCCUUCUAUUCUAUCUAAACUCAUAAAUAAUGUCAUGGUAAAACCUGCCGGAGUUGUCAAUGAGAGUCUUAAUAAUUUUGAUGAAGAUGAUUCCGGAAUUUUUCGUUAUUUACUCGAUGAAUCUUUGAAAGAUGCUUGGGAUAGACUGUUAAGGAUCCGGGCUAACUAUGUGCCCCAAUACCAAAUUGAAGUUUACUUGAAGAGCUUUUAUGUUGCCCUACCUUCUUCGUUUAAGCAUGUCUUAGAUUCUAUAUUUGAAGAAGACUUUCUUGAAGGGGAUGCCGUAGAUACUUAUGAAAAGAUGAAAACCAUAUUUGGGCACCCCAUGAAUGAGAAAAUUAAAUCUACAUCUCUUUUGCUCUCCAGUCCUUGGUUCAUGUAAAUCUGAAUCUAGCCGGCACUACCCCUUCACAAGCUGUUGCAUAGUCUUCAGCGAGGUGCGGCGCAACUUCCGUGUGAGGGGAAAUGAACUUCUCCACGAAUACCUUCUCUCUCACCUUGAAAGCGGUAUAGUAGUAGCCUGGGUUGCACUUGAGCAAUCCAUUUUCCAUGAGAAACUUUACAACGUAGUACCUGGGUUUCAUCCAGCCCUCCAGCUGUAAUUGAUAAUUACUGACCGUUGAGCAAUGUAGGUAGGUUCCAACCCCACCUCAGAGAUGAGGAAAUCAGACCUGCGCUGCAGUAAUUCCUUUGACUUCCUCAGCAGACACGGAGCGUUACGCACAACAAUGCUCACCUCAGCGUCUGACCACCUGAACAUCUUCUUCAAGUAGGCCACAUUGGCGGCGAUCUUCUCCUCGCUGAGGAAUCUGACAGCAUCCAACGUGUGUCUGAACAUCCUGAGCCACGAGGCAUGCCAAGGCCUUCGGCGCAUGCCACCAUCGCCCUGACGCGUUCUGGCUUGUUGCUCAGGACACCCCGCGCGCGGAGGGACAAUUUGGUGAUAUCGCAAUCAUCUAGCCCGCAUUGCCGUAGGAGCGCGACGUUGGGUUUGACCAUCCCGUCGAUGUCAGCGCCGGCGAGGUAGCCUUGCUUGAGCACCCGGAAGAGGUUCUCCGAGGAGCUGAAUAGGAGCAGGUAGUACCGCAACUUGGAAACAAUGGACCUGGAACAGAAGUGGGCGAAGGAGAGCGCGACGAGGCGCACGAUCUCAGUACGCGAGAGGCCGAGGCCGGUGAGCCCACGACGACGGGGGCUAGAGUUUUCUCUACUUUGGCGCAGAGGAACAACGGGUCUUUGGCGACGAGGGCGGCGACGUCGGUGCCGGAGAGGCCGAGGCCGGCGAGGAAGGAAAGGACGGCGUCGGGCUUGGACGGAGACUUGAGGUGGGAGAGCUUGGCGGAGGCCUUGAGUGCCUGGGGUCGGGUGAGGCCGCAGGUGGAGACGAGGUAGUCGUCGACGACGAAGCUAGGGUUUGGGGAAACGCCGGGCGCGGCGGCCGCGGAGAGGGGGCGGUGGAGAGGGGGGCCUGAGAGGUGGCGGGGGAAGAGAGGAGCCGCACGAGGAUGCAGCCACGGAGGCGGAGCAUGGCGGCGGUGGCGGCGGAGAGAUUGAUUCCCUAUGGAGGCGGGUGCGAAUGGGAUGGUGCUUCGGAGGCGGGGAUGCGGCGCCCUGGCGAGGCAGGUGAGGAACGGAGGAAGAGAACAGGAGGAGAGAUCGAAGAGGAUGGCACUUCGGCGGCGCCGCCGAAGAGAUUUUCCGGUCCGCUGUGAGUGGAGAGGAAAAAUGGGAAAUGGCAGGUGCGAUGCGAAUGGAGGCUCCGCAAAUUGCAAUAUCACUGAAUCCCAGGGGUCUUUACGUCUUUCAAAAAUACAAACUACAUUUAAAAAACAUACAUAAUACAUUGAGCCUCAUGGAAACUUUCAUAUACACAUGGAAAAUAGAUAUCCCCUCCGUUCAAUAACGUAGUGCGUAUAGAUUUUCGAAAGUCAGACUUUGCAAAAUAUGAUCAAAUUUAUAAAGAAAACUACUUAUACCUACAUUAUCAAAUAUAUAAAAUAUGAACCUACGUCUUGUCUUAUGAUGAACCUAAUGAUAUAUGUUUGACAUCUAGAUGUAAAUGUUUUUCUUCACAAACUUGGUCAAAUUUUGUUAGGUUUGACUUUUCAAAAAAUCUGUAUGCAAUCAUUAUGCAAUCGGUAUAAUAAGGAAAAUGGCUUUGAGAGAUAAGAUUAUAUCACAAAAUAAGUUAUUAUACGACUUGUACUUAUCUUGUGAUUUUUUUGUAGGUAUAGUACUUCCUCCAUUUUUAUUUACUCUGCAUAUUAGAGUUGACUGAAGUCGAACUUCGUAAAGUUUGACCAAGUUUAUAAAAAAUAUAUAAAUAUUUACCCUAACAAAUCUAUAUGAUACGAAAGUACGUUCAAUAAUGAAUAUAAUGGUAUUGAUUUGUUAUUGUACAAGUUAAUAUUUUUGACUAUAAACUUUGUCAAAAUUUAUAAAGCUUGACUUUGACUAAAACUAAUAUGGAGAGUAAAUAAAAACGAAGGGAGUAAAUGGCUAUGCUUUUUUUAUAGGUAGUAAAUGGUUACUUUUUUCCGAUUUUUUUAAAUGGUUAUGCUUGCUAAUCAAUCCAAUCCAAAUUAUAUGUCGCUCAAACAGAUGUAUCUAAUUAAUAUGGAUUGGAUGGAGCAGAAAAGUUCAUACGGAUAUAUAUUUUCUCAAAACUUGAAAGUAUGAUUUCUACAAGUAAAAAAAAUCAUAUGUGAACUAUGUUUGUUUUUAGCAUUUUGUGUGUGUUCAUGUUUUUCUCUCUCUCUCUCUCUCUCUCUCUUCAUUCUAGCCUCUUUUCCCCCACCUCACUCUGUUCUCACAUUGACAUUGUUGCCUUUUUCAACGGACUCCUACUUAUCUUUUCUAAAUUUUGCAAGGUGAGAAUUGAGAAGGUUAUUAUUCUUUAGUUUUAUGUGUAUAGCUAUAUUAGAGUUGAGAUCAAUUGCAUCGUGUCCACAAAUCCUCUAUAACACUAAGCUCCCUAGUUUUAAAAAGCCCACACUCAAUUAAGGUCUCUAAUUAGAAUUGGAUCAUCCAAUUUUGAUCGGGUCUACAAUUUCUCAAAGCUUCACAAUCCAAUUCUUUUAUACUAUACAAUAUGCUUCCUAAUUUUUAAGGCCUCAUAAUUAUUAAGGUAUUUAAUAUAGGUUGAUCAUCCAAUUUUGACUGGGUCAACAAUUUCUCAACCUCUUCAAUUGAAUUUUUUUAAUUCACUAUGUUCCAAAAUUUUGAAUCUCUUUCAUUCAAUUGAGGUAUUCAAUUUUGAUUUGGUUGACGAUUUUGACUGGGCCAAUGAUUUUCAAAUCAAUCAGCUGCAACUGACCUAUAAAAACAUAUCAAUCCCAUGCACCCCUCCCACCACAUAGAAAAAAGAAGCGUCACCAUAUGAUAUUGUAGUAUCAAUAUAGUACAUGCAACCACCGAUGCAGAAAUUUUCCCACAUAAAUAUAGGUUGGUUAGCGGAUGACACAGUCAUCUCCCCACCCGCCUAACUUAAUAUUCCAUCAGUUACUCCCUCCGUUCCACAAUGUAGCGCAUAUAAAUUUUUCUAGAAGUCAAACUUUAUAAACUUUGACCAAGUUUGUAGAGAAAAUCAUAUACAUCUAGAAUACCAAAUACGUGUGCUUAGAUACAUCACAACACAUACUUUCAUAUUAUAUACAUUUGGUAUUGUAGAUAUAAAUAGUUUUCUCUAUAAAAUUGGUCAAAGUUUAUAAAGUUUGACUUUGUAGAAAAUCUAUAUGCGCUACAUUAUGGAACGGAGGGAGUAUAAAAUAUGAAGGGUAUUAAUUUUGUAGAAAGUCAAACUUCUUUAACUUUGACCAACUUCAGAGCAAAAAUAUCAACAUCCACAAUAUUAAACAAAAAAAGUAUGGAAAUUCAUUUCGUGAUGAAUCUAAAAAUACUGAUUUAAUCUUAUGAAUUUUGAUAUAUUUCUCUACAAAUUUGAUGAAACUUAAAAGGUUUGAUUUUAAAAAAUAUAAUACACAUUAUAUUGGGAAACAGAGUGAUUAGUUUUUUAAGAUAUCCAACAACAUGAACGGCGCAGCAAAGCGCGCACAACCCUUCUAGUUAGUAGUAUAUCUAAGAACAAUUGGCAUCCCAUUGAUGAUCGAUCAACCUUCUUAGUCCAGCUAGUGGCUGGUCGUCUAGAGAUCUAUAUGGAGUCAGUUGAGAUGCGAUGGUCAGCCAAGUGGGUUGAUCAAUGCUCCUCUUAAAAUUCGAAGCCUAAAGUAGAUGUGCUACUCGAGAAAUAAAAAGACCAACGUAGACCGUACUAACAUCUAAUAUUUGACGUCACAUUUGAAUUUGAUACUAUUCACAUCCAUAAUUGUCCCUUUGCUCAUCGAAUUAUGAAUCUUAUAUAAAUGUUGUAAAUGAUCAAUUUUAUAAUAAUUUUAGGGUUGUAGUUCGGUGCAUAGGUAGCUCAGAGGAACCAUAGCCGUCACUUCCUCUCCAAAAAAGCUUAGGGUUCCUAUGCGGCCAUGCCUCCCGUGGCGCCGCUGCCGGUCCACCUCGUCUCCGGUGGCCCUAGGGCCAUGGGGACACGGUGGAUCUCAUCCCUUACCAGCGGGAGGGCUUCGUUUUUAAAUAUUUCUUUGAAUUUUGUUAGGGUUGUGUCCUGCUAAAGAGGAUAAGACAACGACGGCUUCGUGAAGAUUGAAUAAGGUUCUUCCCGCCUAGCCCCCGUCUCGAUGGCGCAUCUAACAUCGUCGGAGAGUGUGUGGAGGUGUGUCUCCGGCGGAUCUCACAGGAUUCGGUAGGUGGUUUGUCUUUGGUGGAUCUACUCGGACCCGGUCUUCGUUCGUCUACAUUUGUCUGUCAUUAGAUUGGAUCCUUCCGAUCUAUGGGUCUCAUCAUCGGCGGGGGUUACUAUUCUAUUGCGCUGGUCCUACGAGGCCUUAGCACGACAAGUUCCCGGCUGUCUACUACAAUAAGUUCUGCCCGGCUCCGGCGAGGGAAGGGCGAUGACAACGGCGCGUCUUCGGCUCGCUUUAAUGCUUGUAGUCUUUGCUAGAUGGUCUACGGAUGGAUGCGAUUUUUAUUAUUCCUAUUGUUCAUUGUAUUGUCAUGAUUGAAAAUAAAAAGAUCGAAAGAUUUCUCACAGAUAAGAAGCUCAGAAGAACCAUUAAAAGGACAAUCGUGUGGUCUCCCUAGAUGGUCCUUGGAGGGAGCGAUGUAAUUUCAUUUCCUUUUUAUUGCAUUCUCAUGAAUCUACGGGAUACACAGAUUUGGAAUAGCCAUGCGUUAUAUAGGUUUGGAAAAGAUGAAUGGGCAGGACAAAGCCCAUCAAGGUCCAGAGUUGAACAUGGUAUUUUUCUCUUCCCUGAUCUUGUGUGGUUGUUACAUUACAACGAGGACUAGAUGCAUUCAUUAACCUGAGGAGACUAUAUACGGUGAUUAUAUCGUGGUUAUCAUAUUUACCUAUUUUACAAAGAAUGAUCGGAUAUAAUUUACUGGUACAAUCCAUUGUGUGCCUUUCACGCUUCCGUCAGUUUAGUUUCCUCACACUUUAAGUAGUCUUGUGAAGUUGUGAUCAGGUAGCUCGCAAUCCAAAUUUCUGUAAUGAAUAUUUUUUUUUGGUCCAACGAGUAAAACGUAGACUUGGUGACCCUCAAAAGGGAUGAUAUUUUACAUAACGAGUAAAUCAUGAUGUCCUUAGAUAUUUCUUAUGAGUAUUUCUUCUUUUCUGCGGAAAAGUUUCUUGUCUUCCGAACUCUUGGAUGUGGGCAGAACUCUUGAUGAGCCGAGGCACCCGCAGCAUGCCAUUGUGAGUCAAGUUUGCCAUUGUUUGAUGGGAAGUUUUCAAGUGCUACAUGUAGAAGGACGCUAUAGUGGCUGCAAUCUUGCUGCUAAGUGACACGUACUGUCACCCUGUUUCUAAUGAAAAAAACUGAAGAACAAUGACUCAUUUAAACAUUGUUCAAUUUUGUGGUUCAUGAUGUUGGAAAUAUGCCCUAGAGGCAAUAAUAAAAGUAUUAUUAUAUUUCAAUGUUCAUGAUAAAUGUCUUUUAUUCAUGCUAUAACUGUAUUAUCCGGAAAUCGUAAUACACGUGUGAAUACUUAGACCACAAUAUGUCCCUGGUGAGCCUCUAGUUGACUAGCUCGUUGUGAUCAACAGAUAGUCAUGGUUUCUUGACUAUGGACAUUGGAUGUCGUUGAUAACGGGAUCACAUCAUUAGGAGAAUGAUGUGAUGGACAAGACCCAAUCCUAAGCAUAGCAUAAAAGAUCGUGUAGUUCGUUUUGCUAGAGCUUUGCCAAUGUCAAGUAUCUCUUCCUUCGACCAUGAGAUCGUGUAACUCCCGGAUACCGUAAGAGUGCCUUGGGUGUAUCAAACGUCACAACGUAACUGGGUGACUAUAAAGGUGCAUUACAGGUAUCUCCGAAAGUAUCUGUUGGGUUGACACGGAUCGAGACUGGGAUUUGUCACUCCGUAUGACGGAGAGGUAUCUCUGGGCCCACUCGGUAAUGCAUCAUCAUAAUGAGCUCAAUGUGACCAAGGUGUUGGACACGGGAUCAUGCAUUACGGUACGAGUAAAGUGACUUGCCGGUAACGAGACUGAACAAGGUAUUGGGAUACCGACGAUCGAGUCUCGGGCAAGUAACGUACUGAUUGACAAAGGGAAUUGUAUACAGGGUUUGAUUGAAUCCUUGACAUCGUGGUUCAUCCGAUGACAACAUCGAGGAGCAUGUGGGAGCCAUCAUGGGUAUCCAGAUCCCGCUGUUGGUUAUUGACCUGAGAGCAUCUCGGUCAUGUCUGCAUGUCUCCCGAACCCGUAGGGUCUACACACUUAAGGUUCGGUGACGCUAGGGUUAUUAGGAAGACUAGUAUGUGACUACCGAAUAUUGUUCGGAGUUCCGGAUGGGAUCCUGGACGUCACGAGGAGCUCCGGAAGGGUCCGAAGGUAAAGAUUUAUAUAUGGGAAGUUGUCAAACGGGCACCGGGAAGUUUCGGGGUCAUACCGGUAUUGUACCGGGGCCACCGGAAGGGUUCCGGGGGUCCACCGGGAGGGGCCACCCCUCCCGGGGGGGCACAUGGGCUGCGUGGGGCAGGGAGCCAGCCCCUGGUGGGCUGGGCGCACCCCCUCCCUUGGGCCCUUGCGCCUAGGGUUGAGGGGGGAACCCUAGAGGGGGCGCCCCCUUGGCUUGGGGGGCAAGCCACCCUCUCCCCCUCUCCCCUUGGCCGCCGCACCCCCCUAGAUGGGUUCUAGGGGGCCGGCCCCCUUCUCCCUUCCCCCAACAAAUAGAGGGGUGAGGGGAGGGCAGCCGCACCACCCUCCAAGGCGCAGCCCUCCCCUCCCCAACACCUCUCCUCCUCUGUUGUGUGCUUGGCGAAGCCCUGUCGGAGUACUGCCUCUCCACCAUCACCACGCCGUCGUGCUGCCGGUGGAGCUGUCUUCCUCAACCUCUCCUCCCCCCUUGCUGGAUCAAGAAGGAGGAGACGUCUCCCGUCCCGUACGUGUGUUGAACGCGGAGGUGCUGUCCGUUCAGCACUUGGUCAUCGGUGAUUCGAAUCACGUCGAGUACGAUUCCAUCAUCACCUUGCAAGCUUCCGCACGCGAUCUACAAGUGGUAUGUAGAUGCAAACUCACUCCCUUGACUCGUUGCUUAGAUGAACUCAUAGAUGGAUCUUGGUGAAACCGUAGGAAAAAUUUUAAUUUUCUGCAACGUUCCCCAACAGUGGCAUCAUGAGCCAGGUUUAUGCGUAGUUCUCUUUGCACGAGUAGAACACAAUUUUGUUGUGGGCGUGGAUUUUGUCAUCUUACUUGCCUCUACUAGUCUUUUCUUGCUCAACGGUAUUGUGGGAUGAAGCGGCCCGGACCAACCUUACACGUACGCUUACGUGAGACCGGUUCCACCGAGUGACAUGCACUAGUUGCAUAAGGUGGCUGGCGGGUGUCUGUCUCUCCCACUUUAGUUGGAGCGGAAUCGAUGAACAGGGCCCUUAUGAAGGGUAAAUAGAAGUUGACAAAAUCACGUUGUGGUGAUUCGUAGGUAAGAAAAUGUUCUUGCUAGAACCCAAUUGCAGCCACGUAAAAGAUGCAACAACAAUUAGAGGAUGUCUAACUUGUUUUUGCAGCGAUUGAUCAUGUGAUGUGAUAUGGCCAGAAGUUGUGAUGAAUGAUGAAUUGUGAUGUAUGAGAUCAUGUUCUUUGUAAUAGGAUUCACGACUUGCAUGUCGAUGAGUAUGACAACCGGCAGGAGCCAUAGGAGUUGUCUUUAUUUUUUGUAUGACCUGCAUGUCAUUGAAUAACGCCAUGUAAACUACUUUACUUUAUUGCUAAACGUUAGUCAUAGAAGUAGAAGUAGUCGUUGGCGUGACAACUUCAUGAAGACACGAUGAUGGAGAUCAUGAUGAUGGAGAUCAUGGUGUCAAGCCGGUGACAAGAUGAUCAUGGAGCCCCGAAGAUGAAGAUCAAUGGAGCUAUAUGAUAUUGGCCAUAUCAUGUCACAACUAUAUAAUUGCAUGUGAUGUUUAUUAUGUAUUAUGCAUCUUGUUUACUUAGGACGACGGUAGUAAAUAAGAUGAUCCCUUAUAAAAUUUCAAGAAGUGUUCUCCCCUAACUGUGCACCGUUGCUACAGUUCGUCGCUUCUAAGCAACACGUGAUGAUCGGGUGUGAUGGAUUCUUACGUUCACAUACAACGGGUGUAAGACAGUUUUACACAGCGAAAACACUUAGGGUUAACUUGACGAGCCUAGCAUGUGCAGACAUGGCCUCGGAACACGGAGACCGAAAGGUCGAACACGAAUCGUAUGGAAGAUACGAUCAACAUGAGAAUGUUCACCGACGAUGACUAGUCCGUCUCACGUGAUGAUCGGACACGGGCUAGUCGACUCGGAUCGUGUAACACUUAGAUGACUAGAGGGAUGUCUAAUCUAAGUGGGAGUUCAUAAUUUGAUUAGAACUUUAUUAUCAUGAACUUAGUCUAAAACCUUUGCAAAUAUGUCUUGUAGAUCAAUGGCCAACGCUAAUGUCAACAUGAACUUCAACGCGUUCCUAGAGAAAACCAAGCUGAAAGAUGAUGGCAGCAACUAUACGGACUGGGUCCGGAACCUGAGGAUCAUCCUCAUAGCUGCCAGGAAACAAUAUGUCCUAGAAGGACCGCUAGGUGACGCUCCCGUCGCAGAGAACCAAGACAUUAUGAAUGCUUGGCAGUCUCGUGCUGAUGAUUACUCCCUCGUUCAGUGCGGCAUGCUUUACAGCUUAGAACCGGGGCUCCAAAAGCGUUUUGAGCAUCACGGAGCAUAUGAGAUGUUCGAAGAGCUGAAACUAGUUUUCCAAGCUCAUGCCCGGGUCGAGAGAUAUGAUGUCUCCGACAAGUUCUACAGUUGUAAGAUGGAGGAAAAUAGUUCUGUCAGUGAGCACAUCCUGAAGAUGUCUGGGUUGCACAACCGUAUGACCCAGCUGAACAUUAACCUCCCAGAUGAGGCGGUCAUUGACAGAAUCCUCCAGUCGCUCCCACCAAGCUACAAGAGCUUUGUGAUGAACUACAACAUGCAGGGGAUGGAAAAGACCAUUCCUGAAGUGUUCUCGAUGCUGAAGUCAGCAGAGGCUGAAAUCAAGAAAGAACAUCAAGUGUUGAUGGUCAAUAAGACCACUAAGUUCAAGAAGGGCAAGGGUAAGAAGAACUUCAAGAAGGACGGCAAGGAGGUUGCCGCGCCUGGUAAGCCAGUUACCGGGAAGAAGUCAAAGAAUGGACCUAAGCCUGAGACUGAGUGUUUUUAUUGCAAGGGGAAGGGUCACUGGAAGCGGAACUGCCCCAAAUACUUAGCGGAUAAGAAGGCCGGCAACACCAAAGGUAUAUUUGAUAUACAUGUGAUUGAUGUGUACCUUACUAGUACUCGUAGUAACUCCUGGGUAUUUGAUACCAGUGCCGUUGCUCAUAUUUGUAACUCACAGCAGGAGCUGCGGAAUAAACGGAGACUGGCGAAGGACGAGGUGACGAUGCGCGUCGGGAAUGGUUCCAGAGUCGAUGUGAUCGCCGUCGGCACGCUGCCUCUACAUUUACCUACGGGAUUAGUUUUGAACCUGAAUAAUUGUUAUUUAGUGCCAAGUUUGAGCAUGAACAUUGUAUCUGGAUCUCGUUUAAUACGAGAUGGCUACUCAUUUAAGUCUGAGAAUAAUGGUUGUUCGAUUUAUAUGAGAGAUAUGUUUUAUGGUCAUGCUCCGAUGGUCAAUGGUUUAUUCUUAAUGAAUCUCGAGCGUAAUAUUACACAUGUUCAUAGUGUAGAUGCCAAAAGAUUUAAAGUUGAUAACGAUAGUCCCACAUACUUGUGGCACUGCCGCCUUAGUCACAUUGGUGUCAAGCGCAUGAAGAAGCUCCAUGCCGAUGGACUUUUAGAGUCUCUUGAUUAUGAAUCGUUUGACACGUGCGAACCAUGCCUCUUGGGCAAAAUGACCAAGACUCCGUUCUCCGGAACAAUGGAGCGAGCAACCAACUUGUUGGAAAUCAUACAUACCGAUGUGUGCGGUCCAAUGAGCGUUGAGGCUCGCGGAGGAUAUCGUUAUGUUCUCACUCUCACUGAUGACUUGAGUAGAUAUGGGUAUGUCUACUUAAUGAAACACAAGUCUGAGACCUUUGAAAAGUUCAAAGAAUUUCAGAAUGAGGUAGAGAAUCAACGUGACCGAAAGAUAAAAUUCUUACGAUCAGAUCGUGGAGGAGAAUACUUAAGUCACGAAUUUGGUACACACUUAAGGAAAUGUGGAAUCGUUUCACAACUCACGCCGCCUGGAACACCUCAGCGAAACGGUGUGUCCGAACGUCGUAAUCGCACUCUAUUGGAUAUGGUGCGGUCUAUGAUGUCUCUUACCGAUUUACCGCUAUCAUUUUGGGGAUACGCUCUAGAGACAGCUACAUUCACUUUAAAUAGGGCACCGUCUAAAUCCGUUGAGACGACACCGUAUGAAUUAUGGUUUGGAAAGAAACCUAAGAUGUCGUUUCUAAAAUUUUGGGGAUGCGAUGCUUAUGUCAAGAAACUUCAACCUGAAAAGCUCGAACCCAAGUCGGAAAAAUGCGUAUUCAUAGGAUACCCUAAGGAAACUGUCGGGUAUACCUUCUACUUAAGAUCCGAAGGCAAGAUCUUUGUUGCCAAGAACGGAUGCUUUCUGGAAAAAGAGUUUCUCUCGAAAGAAGUAAGUGGGAGGAAAGUAGAACUCGAUGAAGUACUACCUCUUGAGCGGGAAAGUGGCGCAGCGCAGGAAACCGUUUCUGUGAUGCCCACACCAACUGAAGAGGAAAACAAUGAUGAUGAUCAAGGUACUUCGGAUCAAGUUACUAUUGAACUUCGUAGGUCCACAAGGACACGUUCCGCACCAGAGUGGUACGGCAACCCUGUCCUGGAAAUCAUGUUGUUGGACAACAAUGAACCUUCGAACUAUGAAGAAGCGAUGGCGGGCCCGGAUUCCAACAAAUGGCUUGAAGCCAUGAAAUCCGAGAUAGAAUCCAUGUAUGAAAACAAAGUAUGGACUUUGACAGACUUGCCCGAUGAUCGGCGAGCGAUAGAAAACAAAUGGAUUUUUAAGAAGAAGACGGACGCGGAUGGUAAUGUUACAAUCUAUAAGGCUCGACUUGUCGCUAAGGGUUAUCGACAAGUUCAAGGGAUUGACUACGACGAGACUUUCUCUCCUGUAGCGAAGCUGAAGUCCGUUCGAAUCAUGCUAGCAAUUGCCGCAUACUAUGAUUAUGAGAUAUGGCAGAUGGACGUCAAAACAGCAUUCCUUAACGGGCAUCUUAAGGAAGAACUGUAUAUGAUGCAGCCGGAAGGUUUUGUCGAUCCUCGGAACGCUAACAAAGUAUGCAAGCUCCAGCGAUCCAUUUAUGGACUGGUGCAAGCAUCUCGGAGUUGGAACAUUCGCUUUGAUGAGAUGAUCAAAGCGUUUGGGUUUAUGCAGACUUAUGGAGAAGCCUGCGUUUACAAGAAAGUGAGUGGGAGCUCUGUAGCAUUUCUCAUAUUAUAUGUAGAUGACAUACUCUUGAUGGGAAACAAUAUAGAAUUUCUGGACAGCAUUAAGGCCUACUUGAAUAAGUGUUUUUCAAUGAAGGACCUUGGAGAAGCUGCUUAUAUAUUAGGCAUCAAGAUCUAUAGAGAUAGAUCGAGACGCCUCAUAGGUCUUUCACAAAGCACAUACCUUGAUAAGAUUUUGAAGAGGUUCAAAAUGGAUCAGUCCAAGAAGGGGUUCUUGCCUAUGUUACAAGGUGUGAGAUUGAGCUCGGCUCAGUCACCGACCACGGCAAAAGAUAAAGAAGAGAUGAGUGUCAUCCCCUAUGCUUCAGCCAUAGGAUCUAUUAUGUAUGCCAUGCUGUGUACCAGACCCGAUGUAAACCUUGCCGUAAGUUUGGUAGCAAGAUACCAAAGUAAUCCCGGCAAGGAACACUGGACAGCGGUCAAGAAUAUCCUGAAGUACCUGAAAAGGACGAAGGACAUGUUUCUCGUUUAUGGAGGAGACGAAGAGCUCGUCGUAAAGGGUUACGUCGACGCUAGCUUCGACUCAGAUCUGGAUGACUCUAAGUCACAAACCGGAUACGUGUAUAUGUUGAAUGGUGGAGCAGUAAGCUGGUGCAGCUGCAAGCUGAGCGUCGUGGCGGGAUCUACGUGUGAAGCGGAGUACAUGGCAGCCUCGGAGGCAGCGCAUGAAGCGAUUUGGGUGAAGGAGUUCAUCACCGACCUAGGAGUCAUACCCAAUGCGUCGGGGCCGAUCAAACUCUUCUGUGACAACACUGGAGCUAUUGCCCUCGCCAAGGAGCCCAGGUUUCACAAGAAGACCAGGCACAUCAAGCGUCGUUUCAACUCCAUCCGUGAAAAUGUUCAAGAUGGAGACAUAGAGAUUUGCAAAGUGCACACGGAUCUGAAUGUCGCAGAUCCGCUGACUAAACCUCUCUCGCGUGCAAAACAUGAUCAACACCAGAACUCUAUGGGUGUUCGAUUCAUCACAAUGUAACUAGAUUGGUGACUCUAGUGCAAGUGGGAGACUGUUGGAAAUAUGCCCUAGAGGCAAUAAUAAAAGUAUUAUUAUAUUUCAAUGUUCAUGAUAAAUGUCUUUUAUUCAUGCUAUAACUGUAUUAUCCGGAAAUCGUAAUACACGUGUGAAUACUUAGACCACAAUAUGUCCCUGGUGAGCCUCUAGUUGACUAGCUCGUUGUGAUCAACAGAUAGUCAUGGUUUCCUGACUAUGGACAUUGGAUGUCGUUGAUAACGGGAUCACAUCAUUAGGAGAAUGAUGUGAUGGACAAGACCCAAUCCUAAGCAUAGCAUAAAAGAUCGUGUAGUUCGUUUUGCUAGAGCUUUGCCAAUGUCAAGUAUCUCUUCCUUCGACCAUGAGAUCGUGUAACUCCCGGAUACCGUAAGAGUGCCUUGGGUGUAUCAAACGUCACAACAUAACUGGGUGACUAUAAAGGUGCUUACAGGUAUCUUCGAAAGUAUCUGUUGGGUUGACACGGAUCGAGACUGGGAUUUGUCACUCCGUAUGACGGAGAGGUAUCUCUGGGCCCACUCGGUAAUGCAUCAUCAUAAUGAGCUCAAUGUGACCAAGGUGUUGGACACGGGAUCAUGCAUUACGGUACGAGUAAAGUGACUUGCCGGUAAUGAGACUGAACAAGGUAUUGGGAUACCGACGAUCGAGUCUCGGGCAAGUAACGUACCGAUUGACAAAGGGAAUUGUAUACAGGGUUUGAUCGAAUCCUUGACAUCGUGGUUCAUCCGAUGACAACAUCGAGGAGCAUGUGGGAGCCAUCAUGGGUAUCCAGAUCCCGCUGUUGGUUAUUGACCUGAGAGCGUCUCGGUCAUGUCUGCAUGUCUCCCGAACCCGUAGGGUCUACACACUUAAGGUUCGGUGACGCUAGGGUUAUUAGGAAGACUAGUAUGUGACUACCGAAUGUUGUUCGGAGUCCCGGAUGGGAUCCUGGACGUCACGAGGAGCUCCGGAAGGGUCCGGAGGUAAAGAUUUAUAUAUGGGAAGUUGUCAAACGGGCACCGGGAAGUUUCGGGGUCAUACCGGUAUUGUACCUGGGCCACCGGAAGGGUUCCGGGGGUCCACCGGGAGGGGCCACCCCUCCCGGGGGGGCCACAUGGGCUGCGUGGGGCAGGGAGCCAGCCCCUGGUGGGUUGGGCGCACCCCCUCCUUUGGGCCCUUGCGCCUAGGGUUGAGGGGGGAACCCUAGAGGGGGCGCCCCCUUGGCUUGGGGGGCAAGCCACCCUCUCCCCCUCUCCCCUUGGCCGCCGCACCCCCCUAGAUGGGUUCUAGGGGGCCGGCCCCCUUCUCCCUUCCCCCAAUAAAUAGAGGGGUGAGGGGAGGGCAGCCGCACCACCCUCCAAGGCGCAGCCCUCCCCUCCCCAACACCUCUCCUCCUCCGUUGUGUGCUUGGCGAAGCCCUGUCGGAGUACUGCCUCUCCACCAUCACCACGCCGUCGUGCUGCCGGUGGAGCUGUCUUCCUCAACCUCUCCUUCCCCCUUGCUGGAUCAAGAAGGAGGAGACGUCUCCCGUCCCGUACGUGUGUUGAACGCGGAGGUGCUGUCCGUUCAGCACUUGGUCAUCGGUGAUUCGAAUCACGUCGAGUACGACUCCAUCAUCACCUUGCAAGCUUCCGCACGCGAUCUACAAGUGGUAUGUAGAUGCAAACUCACUCCCUUGACUCGUUGCUUAGAUGAACUCAUAGAUGGAUCUUGGUGAAACCGUAGGAAAAAUUUUAAUUUUCUGCAACGUUCCCCAACACAUGAGCCUUUUCUUCAAAGUUUACUUAAAAGUUGGGUUAUUAGGUAAAAAAUGGUUCCUUUCCUUUUGUGCUUGCAAUUUAUUGUCCUGACAAAAACACUUUUUAUUGCAGUGCUAAGAAAAUGCGUCUACUACUUGACUGAGCUAAAUACUCUUGAUAGCAAACCCUCUCUGGGCAUAUUCGUAGAUUCAAGGUGAGGAGACAUGCCAGCAUACAGACCAGCCUUAAAAAUAGUCAGAUAAACAUUGCAAGAUGUACAUACAUGGCACAUGUACGAUGUUCUAACAAGAGCAUAAAGUUGAUUGAUUCUUGAUAGCAUCACCUGAAUAUAUCACUCACGGAUUCAUGAAUGUUCCCCGUUGCAAUGCACGGCCAUUCACCUAGUAAAGGCAAUGAUUUGUUGGUAGUAGAGGCAUCUCAUGUUUCAAAGGGUUAAACCUUACCGUCGUGACCCGGCUCCAUGGCUGGGUCAAUCUUGCACCUCUGUUGGUGCCGAACCCUAGGCAAAUUCCCCCAAAUCUCUUGUUGUUUCUAUUGAUUGACCGAAUGUGAGGAGCGAUAGUAGAUCAAUAACUCUCGUAUAACCGAGGGAAAAAGAAAUGAAGAGAAGUUGGCGAAAGUAUCAAGUGGUACAUCUACUUUUUAUAAUAUCACAUGAAGCCGGCAAAAAGGAAAGCCGACCAACGAAGAAACUGCAUAGGGGACCUAUCAUGAGUGAACAUUGCGUGGGCGCCACUGGCCGCAUCUCAUCAUAUUGUUGUGUAGAAGAAGAAAUGACCGCCGAUGCUGCUGGUGCCUCCAUCUCUACGACCUUGCCGUCCAAGCCCGCAAUAGCAACAAACACGUAGCACUAGAGCACGGGAGGAGAGGUGAUCAGGGAAAUUCGUCUUUCUUGAUGGCAGGAUAAUUAGUGAUGGGCGACUCCACGCGACGCUGAUGUGAUUUCAGGCCACACUAAAGGAUGUCGGAGAAGGGGGCCGUAGGACGAACUCAACAACAUCGGUAGUGGGCUUGGUGGAUAUUGUGUCGAGGGCUCGGGGACGCACUCGGUGAAGGUGGUGGACCUCGGGGAGGGGGCCCUCAUACACGUGGAUGCAGGGGAAAAGAGGGUGCACGGGCUUGGAGGCAUUACUCAUCCACCUCUUCUGGCAAAGAGAGCUCAUCGGGGCCAACCGCGUGAAGGAGGAGCUUGAGGUAGCUUGGAGGAGGCGACGACGGCAGCCAGAUCCAUGUGGCAAGCCAGAGUGGAGGCAUCCCACAUGGGAGCAGUGAUUUCAGAGCCUAAGCUUAGAUGCACCUGCUAUUAUGUUUGUUCAUUGCUGCAUGGAGAUUCGGGAAAUGGGGCAUGAGGUUGCAUUGCUAGGGCGUGGAAAAUCCCCAAAACGAACUAUACAUGCAUGAAUAGUGCGAUACAUGUGGGUCUAUCAUGUAGCACACGAGGAGGGUUCGAACGAAGGACAAGCAGUGCCAUCUUGGUUGGAUUCUGAUCCAUGGCACCUAAUCGUCUGCAUUCAUCUAAGUCGUGGCUCACUUUGCUAGCCCGUGGUGUGACUUUGAAACUUUGAAUCCGAGUCAUGGCCUAAAGAUUUGUAUAGCUCCAGUUGGGGCCUGCGGUGUAGGAUCGUCAGUACGCACACCGAAUGUCAUCCACGACCGACAUCGGCCAACAGAUUGCUAGCUUACCAGACGCUACAAGAGGUAGCGUCCUUCGUGAAGUUUGUGUGCUUCAUCACCAACCAGGUCAUCCUAAGCCAUAAUGGACAACCCAUUCAUCUACGUAGUUGACUUCAACACUGGAGACGACUUCUCAUGGUCGUUGAUCAUGUCACACCUUGCUCACCAUGGCAACAAGCUGUUUCAUGUCACGUCACUUGCCACCACAUUAAUGCACCGCACGGAUACGCAUGCACCAACAGUCGUGCAUGGUGUCCGUCGGAGUUCGCGCGCGUCCCUAGGGUCUCCCAUUCCAGUACGAUGAGAAGGACCUCCUGGUCUGGGCUGGAAGUCACGUAAUGGUACCUACAACAAUCUCGAAAAGAGUAGAAGGCCUGGAUUUCAAGAGCAUCUGAGCUCGCACUUAGAAAUCUAUUUUUGUUCCCACGGUCCAUACAUAGAGAGAAACUAGAAAAGAAAACGCAAAACACGCAUACAUGCAUGCAUGCUUCCACAAAUGGGUUACCACAUACCUUUCUAGGAUUCUGGUGACCUCACAUUCAUUGUUGACCCCUUAUGACCUCACAUUCAUGGGAGAGAUUUCCUGAUCUCACAUUGUCUCUAUAAAAGUCUAUCACCUCUACGAAUCAUGUGUCUCCACCAUUUCAAAUCCUCCGCGCGCCUAACAUACCACUUGAGAAAUUACUAAUGGCCAACAGAAAGAAUGUCAUGGCCAUGUUAUUUCUCACCACCAUUGUGGCGGUGGCGGCCACAAGGCCAGCCGAGACCUAUGGCGUUGCGGAGGAGAACACAUUGAAGAUGGCUACCCCCAGCAGGAAAGGGGUUGACGCUACCUUAGCAACUACACGUGUUGUUGCCGCCGAGAAGUCCAUCAAGAAGGCUGAAAGCGUCACCACACCAGAAGAGGCCGCGGCUGCCAAGCAAGAUGGAGCAAAAUCUGCUUCUGCUGCAUUAAAGUACAAUGCCAUCUCUCAGCAGGCAAAUGGUAAAGGUUCUUCUACCUCCCUAGGCAGGAAAGAAGCAGCCAAUACUUUAGCCGCCGCACACUAUGCCGCCACCGAGAAGUCCAUCAAGAAGGCCGAAACCACCAAGACACCUGCAAAGGUCGUGGCUGCCAAGCGAGACGCAGCAAAGUCUGUUGAUGAUGCAUUAAAGUAUGGUGCCAUCUCUCGGAAAGCAGCUGGUACAAGUUCUUCUACCUCCCCCAAUAAGAAAGAAGGCACCACUGAUGCUGCUAAGAUGUUCACCAAGAAGGCUGAAACCGCUACCACACCUGAAGAGGCCGCGGCUGCCAAGCAAGCUGCAGCCAAGUCUACCGCUGCUGCAUCAAAGUAUGGUGUCAUUUCUCAGCAAGUAGCUGGUACAAGUUCUUCUACCUCCCCUAGCAGGAAAGAAGCUGCCGGUACCUUGGCAGAUGCUCGCAUAGCUGCUGCCGAGAAGUCCAUCAAGAAGGCUGAAACCGCCACAAGACCUGAAGAGGCAGCAUCCGCUAAGAAGGAUGCCACAAAAUCCGAGGCUGAUGCAAUGAAGUACGGGGCCAUCUCUCAGCAGGCCGCCGGCAAAAAUGGUGCCUAAGUGGUGCCUUAAACACCUAUUCACACGCAACAUCAUCUACAUACUACCAUGCAUGCAAAAUAGCAGCAUUCAGAUACCACAUUAUGCUAAUUCUCAUGCAUGCACACUUUGUUUAAACGUUCCCAUUACGAAUCAUGUAUUAAUGUCUUGCUUGUUUUAUUUUUAGUAGUAAGACAUGCUUGACUUGCUUUAAAAAAAAUACAACAAUCGAUGUAUACAUGUAUUAUCUAAAAAUCAGUAAUAUGAGUUCCACCGCAAUUUGUUUCUUUUUGUCAUAAUUUGGGUGCAAUCAAUGCACACAUCCAAUACACAAAAUUGGACGACUCAAUGUGUUGUGGCUCCAUGGAGCGGCGAAUCAUGUUUUAUUGUCUUGCUUGUUUUACUUUUAGUAGUAAUGUCUUGCUGGUCAAUGUAUUAUGGCUCCAUGGAGCGGCAUAAUGAUAUAUGAUAUAUCUUCACUACUUCAAAAAGAACUUAAGGUUUCGUCAUACAUCUUUCCUUCAUCCAUCCUCCCUACGAAUCCUUCCUGUUUUGAUUUUUUUCUCCCAUCUUUGAUUUUUCUCCCCAUUGAUUCUACCUAAAAACCACCUCAAUGUCACAUGUUUACUGUAUAUGUCAAGGCCUCCUUUGGUUCAUAGGGUAGAAAAAAACAUAGGAAUAGGAAAGUCAUAGGAAAUGAGAUGACAUGUAUCUCAAAUCCUAUGAUUGGGAAUAGGAAAGGAGAUGCCCUUUGAUUCACAUCAUAGGAUUUUUUCAUUGAAUCUAGGCUAAUGUUUAUUUUCCUAUGAAAUGUGAAGGAGAGGAAGAAUUCCUCCAUAGGAUUAGGAUUCCAUUCCUACAAACCAAAGGACUCUAAAGGAAUUUUUUCUAUAGAAAUCCUAUCCUAUGAAAUUCUUACAAGAUUCCUCCAAAUCAAAGGAGGCCCAAGUGGUUGUGAUGAGACAGUGGCUGGGCACUUCAGAUUUAUUCCCGUAACUGACUGUCAAAUUGAGUCAUCUGUCGUCCUUUCGAUGAUUGUAAGAAAGUUAUAUGUUUACUGUAUGUGCCAAUUGGUUGUGAUUAUCGUUACCGGCCACAAAGUUAUAUUUUCUUGUCUUAACGAAGGGUUGCAUACAAUGCGUGUAGCUCUUGACGCCUGAUAACCCACAAGUAUAGGGGAUCGCAACAGUUUUUGAGGGUAGAGUAUUCAACACAAAUUUAUAGAUUCGACACAAGGGGAGCCAAAGAAUAUUUGUAAGUAUUAACAGCUGAGUUAUCAAUUCAACCACACCUGGAGAUUAAUUAUCUGCAGCAAAGUGAUCAGUAGCAUAGUAGUAUGAUAGUUUUGAUAGUAGUAGCAACAUCAACAGUAACGGUAAUAGUGGUAGCAAUGGUUUUGUAGCAGUGACAAUAGUAACAGCAGCAGUAGUAACUUAGCAAGAACAAUAUGUACGAAAAUCGUACGCAUUGGAUCGGUGAUUUGUUGGAUGAUAUUCAUCAUGUGACAGUUACAACCUAGGACGAUACGGCACUAGCUCCAGUUCAUAAAUAUAAUGUAGGCAUGUAUUCUAUAAAUAAUCAUACGUGCUUAUGGAAAGAACUUGUAUGACAUCUUUUGUCCUACCCUCCUGUGGCAGCGGUGUCCUAUUGGAAACUAAGGGAUAUUAAGGCCUCCUUUUAAUAGAGAACCAGAACAAAGCAUUAACACACGGUGAAUACAUGAACUCCUCAAACUACGGUCAUCACAGGGAAGUGUCCCGACUAUUGUCACUCCGGGGUUGCCGGAUCAUAACACGUAGUAGGUAACUAUAACUUGCAAGAUUGGAUCUAGAACAUAGAUAUAAUGGUGAUAACAUAAGUCAUAGCAACAUCAAUCUCAGAACAUAAUGGAUACUCGGGAUGAAGCCCUAACAAAACUAACUCAAUUACAUGAUGAAUCUCAUCCAACUCCUCACCGACCAGCGAGCCUACGAAGGAAUUACUCACUCCUGGUGGGGAGCAUCAUGGAAUUGGCGAUGGAGAAGGGUUGGUGAUGACGAAGAUCGAAGACCCCCCUCUCUGGAGCCCCAAACGGACUCCAAAUCUAGCCUCCCGAUGAAGAACAGGAGAUGACGGCGGCUCUGUCUCGUGGAUCGUGAUAAUUCUUUCUUCCUGAUUUUUUCUGGAAAAAUAGGAUUUUAUAGCGUCGGAUUCAGGGCCUGCGGGGCCACCAGGUGGGGACAACCCACCUGGGUGUGCUUGGAGGGGGGGGGCCUGGUGGGUUGUGCCCAUCCAGGUGCCCCCCUCCGGUUGUUCUUGGCUCCAGAAAUUCUCUGUAUUUGUAUAAAAAUUCCUCGCAAAGUUUUGUUCCAAUCCGAAAACUUUUAUUUCUGCACAAAAAAAACACCAUGGUAGUUUUGUUGGAAACAGCGUCAGUCCGGGUUAGUUUCAUUCAAAUCAUGCAAAUUAGAGUGCAAAACAAGAGGAAAGUGUUAGGAAAAGUAGAUACGACGGAGAUGUAUCAACUCCUCCAAGCUUAAACCUUUGCUUGUCCUCAAGCAAUUCAGUUGAUAAACUGAAAGUGAAAAAAAAAUUACGAACUCUUUUGCUCUUGUUUUCAUAAAUAAGCUUAAACAUCACCCAGUGUCGAUGUCAAAACCGGCGGAUCUCGGAUAGGGGGUCCCGAACUGUGCGUCUAGGCGGAUGGUAACAGGAGACAAGGGACACGAUGUUUACCCAGGUUCGGGCCCUCUCGAUGGAGGUAAAACCCUACUCCUGCUUGAUUAAUAUUGAUGAUAUGGGCAGUACAAGAGUAGAUCUACCACGAGAUCAAGGAGGCUAAACCCUAGAAGGUAGCCUAUGGUAUGAUUGUUGUUGUCCUACAGACUAAAACUCUCUGGUUUAUAUAGACACCGGAGAGGGUUAGGGUUACACAGAGUCGGUUACAAUGGUAGGAGAUCUACAUAUCUGUAUCGCCAAGCUUGCCUUCCACGCCAAGGAAAGUCCCUUCCAGACACGGGAAGAAGUCUUCAAUCUUGUAUGUUCAUAGUCCGGGAGUCCGGCUGAAGGUAUCGUCCGGCUAUCCGGACACCCCCUAAUUCAGGACUCCCUUAGAGCCCCCGAACCAGGCUUCAAUGACGACGAGUCUGGCACGCAAAUUGUCUUCGGCAUUGCAAGGCGGGUUCUCCUUCAAUUUCUGUGUACCUGCUGAAUAAUGUCCGGUUUCUUAUAAAUGUAGCGCUCCUCGGCUUCCACGCCCAAUAAUGGCCGUCUUCCACGUGUCAAAUGAAUACGAAAAGUCUGGGUGUUUUUACAUUCACACCCCCAGCCGCGUAAAUGAGCCGCCUAUUUAAAGGGACGGGGAUUUAGAUCCAAACCACACCUUCUCCUCUCCGCGAGUUUCAUCAGAGCGCAUCCGACAAAGGACCGUUCCAUCAUGGCCAGCCGUCGCAGCUCCUCCUCUCGCCCUUCCAGCCCUCAUCCUGGAGAUUGGGAGAGAUGCUCCGUCCCGCACAGCGAGCUAGUGUCGCUUCGGACCAAAGGGAUUUCUUCCUCCGGCCUAUAUGGUCCCGGUUCGAGCCGGACUUGCCACCUAUAAUGGCGGAGAGCAAGUGGAGAGCGCCCCCAAUCCCUCCAAAGGAGAGCGGGUAUGCCUUGUCCCUUAUUUAAUAAGAGGGCUCGGAUUUCCAAUUCAUCCAUUUCUCCGGGGGCUCCUGGAGUUCUAUGGCCUCCAGCUGCACAACCUCACGCCUGUCUCCGUAUUGCAUAUUGCGGGCUUCGUAGCCCUUUGCGAGUUGUUUUUGGGUGUUGAGGCUCAUUUCGCGCUGUGGAAGAGGCUAUUCUGCCUUGUGCCCUGUUCUUAGGAGGGGUCAAUAUAUCAAGUGGGCGGAGCCAAAGUGUGGUGUAUCGCCGGGACCGGAUAUCUAUCCGGAACCCCAAAGAAGGCGUCUGAGGACUGGCCUUCAGAAUGGUUUUAUAUAGAGGACGUCCCGUUGCCGGAUCCUGUUCGGAUCGGCCUCCCUGAGUUCAACAGCGCUCCCCUAAAGAAAAACCUAAGCUGGCGCCCACGGAGCCCUCAGAGAGAAAGUGACAAGGACAUUCUUUACCUGAUGGGCCGGAUAAGAUUAUUAGCUCAUUCCGGACUAACCAUGAUCGGAGUCAUGGCUGCAUGCAUCAUGCGAGGGGUGCAACCGCUUCAGUACAGAGGCCACCCCAUGUGGGACUUCAACGGGGAGGAUGAUGCCACCCGUCACGGCCGUAAGGGGCCGGACUCGGCUACCGCUCUAGUAAAGAUCUUGUCCGCUUUGUACAAGGGAGAAGAGGAGGAAUUUCUCCGCGUCAACCCACAGGGUGGAUUUACCAUGUACAAUCCCCCAAGUUGGGUAAGUGGGCAAUUUUACUUGCACGUCUGUUUUGUAUUCCCAUCAUUAAAUAUAUAGUCUAACGACUUCAACGCAGGAACUGCGCCUGGAAGUAAAGGACAUAAAUAGCCCGCCUCCACAGCCCGAGGACCCAGAGUUGUCCCUCGAUCCGGCCUCCGAAGAGGAUCCGGACUUAUCCAUGGAGUUAAUUGAUGGGGUGUUUUAUCAAUUGAGCAAGGACAAUGCCUUGGUGGCCAUUAAGGCCGAUUACCCGGGGCUGCUCCCGGCCUCCCAGGUAACUGAGACCGAAGUCCUAGCACCUCAAAAAGGGAUCCGCCCUCGCGUGUUUUUCAGUUUCCUGACAACAACCGUGUUUUGCAGGGGAGGUUCUUGAGACGGGAGGCCGAGCCUGCGGCGACUAGCCAACGAGGGGCUACAGGGCCCCGUGGGAUGAAAAGAAGUGCAGUCCGGAUUGAGGCGCCGGCGCAGAGGUAUAGCACGCCUUCUUAUUCCCAGGUGUUAUUCCUUCAAGGCAUAUUAACACUCGUGCUCUUUUCAGGACAAAAAGACCCCGCCGGACUAUAUCUGGAGAGGCUGCCAAUCGCGCCUCCACCAGCCAGGCUCCAAAGCCUGGUCCGGAGACGGAGGCGAACACGAGGCGCGCACCGGACGCUCCUCCAACAGAGGAUGCGGACAGGCUGUCCGCCACUAAUUCCGAGGUGGAGAGUGCCAUGAACCACAGGCGUCGCCGGACAGUUCUUCGCGACGCUUGUUUCUCCCAAGAGGCAUUGGACGCCUUCAAUUCGGGAGAUGCGUACCUCCGUGCCGCUCAAAAUGGUCUAGCCAGAGCCACGGAGCAAUAUGUAAAAGACAUACAGGUGAGAAAAUUUAAUGGUUAUAUAUAUCAGUAGCCCCCGAGACUUGAAACAGUUAGAAGAACUGAUUUAAGGAUCAUUCAUAAUGCAGGUUCUUGCGGAAAAGAAUACCCAACUGUCCCAGGAGCUAGAAGAGUGCAAAGCCCAACUUGAGGCCGCACUAGCCGCGACAGGGGAGCCCAAGGAGACCCCCUCUGGUAAUAUGUGCUUCAAAAAGAGAAGUAUUUUGUGAAGUGCGGCGUUUGUGCAAAUCUGACAAAUGAAAUUGCAGAUGGCGCCGGAUUAGAUCCGGAAAAGCAACAACUCCUACGCCAGCUAAAGGCUGGUGAGAGCGUGCUGACAAAGGUGAGGUGGGAGAAGAACGAUCUCCAAUAUGCCAACACCAAGCUGGGCGUUGAACUGAAAGAUGUUUGUGCCCAGCUGUCGGACUCCGCUAAGGAGAAUCAGCGGCUUCGACGCGGCAUAUUUAGUAAGUGCUUAAACGAACUUUGAAUAAAGAGUUCGACGAGGAAGUCGACUAACGGAGUAAUGUCUGUAGGUAUGCUAACAGGUCGUCCUGCAGAGGAGAUGCCCGGUUCUAUGGGUGACCUUCUUCCCGAGCUCUUGCAACUGCACGAGCGAGUUCGGCAGGUGAUGCAGGGCGUCGCCCAGGCCUUGUGGCCAUCCAUCUCCAUGCCCGAAGGACUUGGAGAGCUUGCAGAGAAGCUGAAGGGAGCGCGGCGGCGCUUCUGAUUGUGGAAGAUAUCGGCCUGCGUCAAGGCGCUAGGGAGGCAUGGGCCAUGGUGAAGACGCGGUACACGAAGGCUGACCCAAACCACAUGGCCGAGGUCGGACCUGUGGGGCCCGAUGGGAAGGAGAUCCCUGUAAGCUUCGUAUACGGCUAAGUAGAAUUGGCCGCAAAGUAUUCCCAGCAGGACUGUAAGCUAGACAGCCUGUUAGAUGGUAUUGAAGAGGAAUACAAUCAGUCAUAAUGACUAUGUAAUUUUAAUUGACAUGUGUAAUGCCUUCUAGCCAGAUUGUAGAUCAUUUUUCAUGGCCGACCUUUUUGCUUCGACCUCGGGACCUGCGGUCUGGAGUGUGUCCGAAUACCCUUGCGGUUAUAUAAGAACCGGGGUAUGCAUGGAGACUAGGCGUAGGGGUCAUUAGUGCUUGAACAGACAAGUGCCCGACUAGUUAUGUUAUAUUACAUGGUUAGUAAGAAACAUCUUCCAGGGAGAAUAGUUCCGUUAGGGGUUCCUUUCCCUGGGAGGCAUGCCCUAAAGUGCAUGUCCAUUCUGCGAAAAAGAGACGCAGGAAAAAACAUCUGGGGGCGCAUAGAUAAAUAAGUGAAAAAAUCAUCUUUAGUUCACCGACCGAAUAUUUCCUUAAGAACGCUAGCUUUCGGCUUCACCCAGUCUGAGGUACACAUCGGGCUGACCCGGCAGUAACAAUCGCAGAGGUGCUCCCUUUACCACCUAGCCGAACAAUCGGGAACAUAGGGGUAAGCACAGGAGCCAGGCAACCCAGCUUGGCCAAAAAUUAAGUCAUAUCGAUGCAUAUGAUGGUGAAUAAAAGGUACAUGCGGAAGUGUGACACAUGUGUUGGGCAUGAAGCCCGUAUAAGCUUCUGUUCAAAGAAGCCCCCAGGUUUAGUGAGCGUGGAUAGCGCGUCACUUGAUGAGCCUUUAAAGGCUAUAAGAGAAAGGAGGGGGAGAAGGAGAAAAUGGAAGACAGAAAAUAUAAAAAAUGGACAGAGGAAGGAGACGAACAUAGAGUCCGGCGCUAGGCAUAGAAUCUUCGGAGACGGGCUGCGUUCCAUGGGUUCGGUUCGAGUCGGUUAUCCGAUGCAUCUCGCAGGCGGUAUGCUCCACCAGUCAGGACUUGGUCAAUUAUGAAGGGACCUUCCCACUUGGGCUGGAGUUUGUCCUUUUUCUUGUCCGGCAGGCGUAGAACUAGUUCGCCAACAUUGUAAUUUUUGGCCCGUACUUCUCUGCUUUGAUAUCUUCGAGCCUGCUGUUGAUAGAAUGCGGAACGGGCUUUUGCCACGUCACGCUCCUCCUCCAAGGCAUCUAAACUGUCCUGCCGAUCGAGCUCGGCUUCUCUUUCUUCGUACAUGCGCACUCAAGGUGAGUCAUGAAUUAUAUCGCAGGGCAAAACUGCUUCUGCACCGUACACCAUGAAGAAUGGUGUGUAUCCGGUGGUGCGAUUCGACGUGGUCCGCAGCCCCCAGAGUACGGAGUCGAGCUCCUCUACCCAGUGCGUGUUAGAUUCCUUAAGGUACCGCACUAAUCUGGGUUUGAUGCCGCUCAUGAUAAGACCAUUUGCGUGUUCGACCUGUCCGUUAGUUUGUGGGUGAUAGACGGAAGCAUAAUCGAGCUUGAUGCCCAUGUUUUUGCACCAGAGUUUUACCUCAUCGACCGUAAAGUUCGUACCGUUAUCAGUGAUGAUGCUGUGGGGGACGCCGUAACGGUGUACGACCCCCGAUAUAAAGUCUAUCACCGGUCCGGAUUCGGCCGUCUUAAUAGGCUUGGCCUCUAUCCAUUUGGUGAACUUAUCCACCAUGACCAGUAAGUAUUUUUUCUUCUGGGUUCCGCCUUUAAGGGGUCCAACCAUGUCAAGCCCCCAGACCGCGAAGGGCCAAGUGAUGGGGAUAGUUUGGAGGGCGGUGGGUGGCAUAUGGCUUUGGUUUGGCAAAAGCUGGCAACCGACGCAUCGUUGGACUAAGUCCUGAGCGUCUGCCCGGGCCGUUGGCCAAUAAAAGCCUGUACGGAAAGUCUUGCUUACGAGGGACCGAGUUGCGGUGUGAUGACCAUCGAGUCCGGCAUGAAUUUCAGCCAGCAAGUUCCGCCCAUCCUCCUCGGAGAUGCACCUUUGAAGGACUCCGGUAGUGCUUUUCUUAUAAAGCUCUCCCUCAUGGACUUUAUAGGCUUUAGAUCGCCGCACUAUGCAGCGUGCCUCAUUUUGGUCUUCUGGGAGUUCCUGCCUAGUAAGGUAGGCUAGGAAUGGUUCUGUCCACGGGGCGAUGACCGCCAUUAUUACGUGGGCUGAAGAUGUGACUUCAUUGGCAGAAUCUCCAAUUAUGUCAGUGUUGGGUAACGUAGCAGAAAUUCAAAAUUUUCCUACGUGUCACCAAGAUCUAUCUAUGGAGAAACCAGCAACGAGGGGAAGGAGAGUGCAUCUACAUACCCUUGUAGAUCGCUAAGCGGAAGCGUUCAAGAGAACGGGGUUGAAGGAGUCGUACUCGUCGUGAUCCAAAUCACCGAUGAUCCUAGUGCCGAACGGACGGCACCUCCGCGUUCAACACACGUACAGCCCGGUGACGUAUCCCACGCCUUGAUCCAGCAAGGAGAGAGGGAGAGGUUGAGGAAGACUCCAUCCAGCAGCAGCACAACGGCGUGGUGGUGGUGGAGGAGCGUGGCAAUCCUGCAGGGCUUCGCCAAGCACCACGGGAGAGGAGGAAGGAGAGAUGCAGGGCUGCGUCAUAUAGAAGAGAGGAACUCGCGUCUUAUGAGCAGCCCAAACCUCAACUAUAUAUAGGGGAAGGGGAGAGGCUGCGGCCCCUUUAGGGUUUCCACCCCUAGGGGUGGCGGCCAGCCUAGAUCCCAUCUAAGGGAGGCGGCCAAGGGGGAGGGGGAGAGGGAGGCGCACCAGGAUGGGCCUUAGGGCCCAUCUGCCCUAGGGUUUGCCCCCUUCUCCUCUCCCUUGCACCUUGGGCCCUUGUGGGGGGGGGGGCGCACCAGCCCACCUGGGGCUGGUCCCCUUCCACACUUGGCCCAUGAAGCCCUCCGGGGCUGGUUUGCCCCACUUGGUGGACCCCCGGGACCCUCCCGGUGGUCCCGGUACGUCACCGAUAAACCCCGAAACUUUUCCGGUGACCAAAACAGGACUUCCCAUAUAUAAAUGUUUACCUCCGGACCAUUCCAGAACUCCUCGUGACGUCCGAGAUCUCAUCCGGGACUCCGAACAACAUUCGGUAACCACAUACAAACUUCCUUUAUAACCCCAGCGUCAUCGAACCUUAAGUGUGUAGACCCUACGGGUUUGGGAGACAUGCAGACAUGACCGAGACGUUCUCUGGUCAAUAACCAAUAGCGGGAUCUGGAUACCCAUGUUGGCUCCCACAUGUUCCACGAUGAUCUCAUCGGAUGAACCACGAUGUCAAGGACUUAAUCAAUCCCGUAUACAAUUCCCUUUGUCUAUCGGUACGAUACUCGCCCGAGAUUCGAUCGUCGGUAUCCCGAUACCUUGUUCAAUCUCAUUACCGGCAAGUCUCUUUACUCGUUCCGUAACACAUCAUCCCGUGAUCAACUCCUUGAUCACAUUGUGCACAUUAUGAUGAUGUCCUACCGAGUGGGCCCAGGGAUACCUCUCCGUCACACGGAGUGAUAAAUCCCAGUCUCGAUUCGUGCCAACCCAACAGACACUUUCAGAGAUACCCGUAGUGUACCUUUAUAGCCACCCAGUUACCUUGUGACGUUUGGCACACCCAAAGCACUCCUACGGUAACCGGGAGUUGCACAAUCUCAUGGUCUAAGGAAAUGAUACUUGACAUUAGAAAAGCUUUAGCAUACGAACUACACGAUCUAGUGCUAUGCUUAGGAUUGGGUCUUGUCCAUCACAUCAUUUUCCUAAUGAUGUGAUCCCGUUAUCAACGACAUCCAAUGUCCAUGGUCAGGAAACCGUAACCAUCUAUUGAUCAACGAGCUAGUCAACUAGAGGCUUACUAGGGACAUGGUGUUGUCUAUGUAUCCACACAUGUAUCUGAGUUUCCUAUCAAUAUAAUUCUAGCAUGGAUAAUAAACGAUUAUCAUGAACAAGGAAAUAUAAUAAUAAUCAAUUUAUUAUUUCCUCUAGGGCAUAUUUCCAACAGUCUCCCACUUGCACUAGAGUCAAUAAUCCAGUUCACAUCGUUAUGUGACUAACACUCAAGGUCACAUCCCCAUGUGACUAACACCCAAAGAGUUUACUAGAGUCAAUAAUCUAGUUCACAUUUACCAUGUGAUUAACACUCGAUGAGUUCUGGGUUUGAUCAUGUUAUGCUUGUGAGAGAGGUUAUAGUCAACGGGUCUGAACCUUUCAGAUCCGUGUGUGCUUUACAAAUCUCUAUGUCAUCUCCUAGAUGCAGCUACCACGCUCUAUUUGGAGCUAUUCCAAAUAACUGUUCUACUAUACGAAUCCAGUUUACUACUCAGAAUAAUCUGGAUUAGUGUCAAAGUUUGCAUCGGCGUAACCCUUUACGACGAACUCUUUUACCACCUCCAUAAUCGAGAAAAUUCCUUAGUCCACUAGUUACUAAGGAUAACUUUGAUCGCUGUCCUGUGAUCCAUUCUUGGAUCACUCUUGUACCCCUUGACUGACUCAUGGCAAGGCACACUUCAGGUGCGGUACAUAGCAUAGCAUACUGUAGAGCCUAUGUCUUAAGCAUAGGGGACGACCUUCGUUCUUUCUCUCUAUUCUGCCGUGGUCAAGCUUUAAGUCUUAACUUCAUACCUUACAACUCAGGCAAGAACUCCUUCUUUGACUGAUCCAUCUUGAACACCUUCAAGAUCAUGUCAAGGAAUGUGCUCAUUUGAAAGUACCAUUAAGUGUUUUGAUCUAUCCUUAUAGAUCUUGAUGCUCAAUGUUCAAAUAGCUUAAUCCAGGCUUUCCAUUGAAAAAACACUUUCCAAAUAACCCUAUAUGCUUUCCAGAAAUUCUACGUCAUUUCUGAUCAACAAUAUGUCAACAACAUAUAUUCAUCAGAAAUUCUAUAGUGCUCCCACUCACUUCUUUGGAAAUACAAGUUUCUCAUAAACUUCGUAUUCACCCAAAAUCUUUGAUCAUCUCAUCAAAGCAUACAUUCCAACUCGAGAUGCUUACUCCAGUACUUAGAAGGAUUGCUGGAGCUUUGCAUACUUAUUAGCAUAUUUCAGGAUUGACAAAACCUUCCGGUUGUAUCACAUACAACCUUUCCUCAAAAAUCAUCGAGGAAACAAUGUUUUGACAUCCUAUCUGCAAGAUUUCAUAAAUGAUGCAGUAAUUGCUAAUAUAAUUCCAACAGACUCUUAGCAUCGCUACGAGUGAGAAAGUCUCAUCGUAGUCAACUCCUUGAACUUGUCGGAAAACAUCUUAAUGACAAGUCGAGCUUUCUUAAUGGUGAUACUUACCAUCAUUGUCCGUCUUCCUUUUAAAAUCCAUAUGUACCUAACAGCCUUACGACCAUCAAGUUGUUCUUCCAAAGUCUACACUUUGUUUUCACAUAUGGAUCCUCUCUCGGAUUAUAUGGCCUUGAGCCAUUUUGGAAUCCAGGCCCACCAUUGCUCCUCCAUAGCUCGUAGGUUCAUUGUUGUCUAGCAACAUGACUUCCAAGACAGGAUUACGUACCAUUCUAAAGCAGUACACAUCCUUGUCAUCCCACGAGGUUUGGUAGUGACUUGAUCUGAAGUUUCAUGAUCACUAUCAUAAGCUUCCACUUCAAUUGGUGUAGGUGCCACAGGAACAACUCCCUGUGCCCUGCCACACACUAGUUGAAGAGAUGGUUCAAUAACCUCAUCAAGUCUCCACCAUCCUCCCACUCAAUUCUUUCGAGAGAAACUUUUCCUCGAGAAAGGACCCGAUUCUAGUAACAAUCCCUUAUUGCUUUCGAAUCUGAGACAGGAGGUAUACCCAACUGUUUUGGGUGUCCUAUGAAGAUGUAUUUAUCCGCUUUGGGUUCGAGCUUAUCGACCUGAAACUUUUUCACAUAAGCGUCGCAGCCCCAAACUUUUAAGAAAUGACAGCUUAGGUUUCUCUAAACCAUAGUUCAUACGGUGUCAUCUCAUCGGAAUUACGUGGUGCCCUAUUUAAAGUGAAUGUGGUUGUCUCUAAUGCCUAACCCAUAAACUAUUGUGGUAAUUCGAUAAGAGACAUCAUGGUAUGCAUCAUAUCCAAUAGGGUGCAGUUAUGAUGUUCGGACACACCAUCACACUAUGGUGUUCCAGGCUGUAUCAGUUGUGAAACAAUUUCCACAAUGUCUUAAUUCUGUGCCAAACUCGUAAUUCAGAUAUUCAUCUCUAUGAUCAUAUCAUAGAUAUUUUAUCCUCUUGUCACGAUGAUCUUUCAACUUCACCCUGAAAUUACUUGAACCUUUCAAUAAUUCAAACUCAUGAUUCAUCAAGUAAAUAUACUCAACAUCUACUCAAAUCAUCUGUGAAGUAAGAACAUAACGAUAUCCACUACAUUCCUCAGCACUCAUUGGACUGCACACAUCAAAAUGUAUUACUUCCAACAAGUUGCUUUCUAGUUCCAUUUUACUGAAACCGAGGCUUUCAGUCAUCUUGCCCAUGUGGUAUGAUUUGCAUGUCUCAAGUGAUUCAAAAUCAAGUGAGUCCAAAUGGUCCAUUUGCAUGGAGUUUCUUCAUGCAUAUACACCAAUAGACAUGGUUCGCAUGUCUCAAACUUUUCAAAAAUGAGUGAGCCCAAAGAUCCAUCAACAUGGAGCUUCUUCAUGCGUUUUAUACUGAUAUGACUUACGUGGCAGUGCCACAAGUAGGUGGUACUAUCAUUACUAUCUUAUAUCUUUUGGCAUGAACAUGUGUAUCACUACGAUCAAGAUUCAAUAAACCAUUCAUUUUAGGUGCAAGACCAUUGAAGGUAUUAUUCAAAUGAACAGAGUAACCAUUAUUCUCCUUAAAUGAAUAGCCGUAUCGCGAUAGACAUAAUCCAAUCAUGUCUAUGCUCAACGCAAACACCAAAUAACAAUUAUUUAGGUUUAACACCAAUCUCGAUGGUAGAGGGAGCGUGCGAUGCUUGAUCAUAUCAACAUUGGAAACACUUCCAACACAUAUCGUCAGCUCACCUUUAGCUAGUCUCCGUUUAUUCCGUAGCUUUUAUUUCAAGUUACUAACACUUAGCAACCGAACCGGUAUCUAAUACCCUGGUGCUACUAGGAGUACCAGUAAAGUACACAUUAACACAAUGUAUAUCCAAUAUACUUCUAUCGACCUUGCCAGCCUUCUCUUCUACCAAGUAUCUAGGGUAAUUCUGCUCCAGUGGCUGUUCCCCUUAUUACAGAAGCACUUAAUUAGUCUCGGGUUUGGGUUCAACCUUGGGUUUCUUCACUAGAGCAGCAGCUAAUUUGCCGUUUCAUGAAGUAUCCCUUCUUGCCCUUGCCCUUCUUGAAACUAGUGGUUUCACCAACCAUCAACAAUUGAUGCUCCUUCUUGAUUUCUACUUUUGUGGUGUCAAACAUCGCGAAUAUCUCAAGGAUCAUCAUAUAUGUCCCUGAUAUAUUAUAGUUCAUCACGAAGCUCUAGCAGCUUGGUGGUAAUGACUUCGGAGAAACAUCACUUUCUCAUCUGGAAGAUCAACUCCCACUCGAUUCAAAUGAUUGUUGUACUCAGACAAUCUGAGCACAAGCUCAACAAUUGAGCUUUUCUCCCUUAGUUUGCAGGCUAAGAAAAUUGUCGGAGGUCUUAUACCUCUUGACAUGGGCACGAGCCUGAAAUCCAAAUUUCAGCCCUCGAAACAUCUCAUAUGUUUUGCGACGUUUCAAAACGUCUUUGGUGCCUCAACUCUAAACCGUUUAACUGAACUAUCACGUAGUUAUGAAAAUGUGUAUGUCAGAUGUUCGCAACAUCCACAGACAACGUUCGAGGUUCAGCACACUGAGCGGUGCAUUAAGGACAUAAGCCUUCUAUGAAGCAAUGAGGACAAUCCUCAGUUUACGGACCUAGUCCGCAUAAUUGCUACUAUCAACUUUCAACUAUUUUUUUUUCUCUAGGAACAUAUCUAAACAGUAGAACUAAAGCGCGAGCUACGACAUAAUUUGCAAAAUCCUUUUGACUAUGUUCAGGAUAAACAAGUUCAUCUUAUGAACUUCCACUCAGAUAGAUAUCCCUCUAGUCAUCUAAGUGAUUACAUGAUCCGAGUCAACUAGGCCGUGUUCGAUCAUCACGUGAGACGGACUAGUCAUCAUCGGUGAACAUCUUCAUGUUGAUCGUAUCUACCAUACGACUCAUGCUCGACCUUUCGGUCUCUUGUGUUCCGAGGCCAUGUCUGUACAUGCUAGGCUCAUCAAGUCAACCUAAGUGUUUCGCGUGUGUAAAUCUGUCUUACACCCGUUGUAUGUGAACGUUAGAAUCUAUCACGCCCGAUCAUCACGUGGUGCUUCGAAACGACGAACUUUCGCAACGGUGCAUAGUUAGGGGGAACACUUUCUUGAAAUUUUAAUGAGGGAUCAUCUUAUUUACUACUGUCGUUCUAAGCAAAUAAGAUGUAUAAACAUGAUAAACAUCACAUGCAAUCAAAUAGUGAUAUGAUAUGGCCAAUAUCAUAGUGCUCCUUUUGAUCUCCAUCUUCGGGGCUCCAUGAUCAUCAUCACCGGCAUGACACCAUGAUCUCCAUCAUCAUGAUCUCCAUCAUCGUGUCUUCAUGAAGUUGUCUCGCCAACUAUUACUUCUACUACUACAGCUAACUGUUAGCAAUAAAGUGAAGUAAUUACAUGGCGUUGUUUAAUGACACGCAGGUCAUAUAAUAAAUUAAGACAACUCCUAUGGCUCCUGCCGGUUGUCAUACUCAUCGACAUGCAAGUCGUGAUUCCUAUUACAAGAACAUGAUCAAUCUCAUACAUCACAUAUCAUUCAUCACAUUCUUCUUGGCCAUAUCACAUCACAUAGCAUACCCUGCAAAAACAAGUUAGACGUCCUCUAAUUGUUGUUUGCAUGUUUUACGUGGCUGCUAUGGGUUUCUAGCAAGAACGUUUCUUACCUACGCAAAACCACAACGUGAUAUGCCAAUUGCUAUUUACCCUUCAUAAGGACCCUUUUCAUCGAAUCCGAUCCGUCUAAAGUGGGAGAGACAAACACCCGCCAGCCACCUUAUGCAACUAGUGCAUGUUUGUCGAUGGAACCGGUCUCACGUAAGCGUAUGUGUAAGGUUGGUCCGGGCCGCUUCAUCCCACAAUGCCGCCGAAUCAAGAUUGGACUAGUAACGGUAAGCAUAUUGAACAAAAUCAACGCCCACAACUACUUUGUGUUCUACUCGUGCAUAGAAUCUACGCAAUAGACCUAGCUCAUGAUGCCACUGUUGGGUAACGUAGCAGAAAUUCAAAAUUUUCCUAUGUGUCACCAAGAUCUAUCUAUGGAGAAACCAGCAACGAGGGGAAGGAGAGUGCAUCUACAUACCCUUGUAGAUCGCUAAGCAGAAGCGUUCAAGAGAACGUGGUUGAAGGAGUCGUACUCGUCAUGAUCCAAAUCACCGAUGAUCCUAGUGCCGAACGGAUGACACCUCUGCGUUCAACACACGUACAGCCCGGUGACGUAUCCCACGCCUUGAUCCAGCAAGGAGAGAGGGAGAGGUUGAGGAAGACUCCAUCCAGCAGCAGCACAACGGCGUGGUGGUGGUGGAGGAGCGUGGCAAUCCUGCAGGGCUUCGCCAAGCACCACGGGAGAGGAGGAAGGAGAGAUGCAGGGCUGCGUCAUAUAGAGGAGAGGAACUCGCGUCUUAUGAGCAGCCCAAACCUCAACUAUAUAUAGGGGAAGGGGAGGGGCUGCGACCCCUUUAGGGUUUCCACCCCUAGGGGUGGCGGCCAGCCUAGAUCCCAUCUAAGGGAGGCGGCCAAGGGGGAGGGGGAGAGGGAGGCGCACCAGGAUGGGCCUUAGGGCCCAUCUGCCCUAGGGUUUGCCCCCUUCUCCUCUCCCUUGCGCCUUGGGCCCUUGUGGGGGGGGGCGCACCAGCCCACCUGGGGCUGGUCCCCUUCCACACUUGGCCCAUGAAGCCCUCCGGGGCUGGUGGCCCCACUUGGUGGACCCCCGGGACCCUCCCGGUGGUCCCGGUACGUUACCGAUAAACCCCAAAACUUUUCCGGUGACCAAAAUAGGACUUCCCAUAUAUAAAUCUUUACCUCCGGACCAUUCCGGAACUCCUCGUGACGUUCGGGAUCUCAUUCGGGACUCCGAACAACAUUCGGUAACCACAUACAAACUUCCUUUAUAACCCCAGAGUCAUCGAACCUUAAGUGUGUAGACCCUACGGGUUCGGGAGACAUGCAGGCAUGACCGAGACGUUCUCCGGUCAAUAACCAACAGCGGGAUCUGGAUACCCAUGUUGGCUCCCACAUGUUCCACGAUGAUCUCAUCGGAUGAACCACGAUGUCAAGGACUUAAUCAAUCCCGUAUACAAUUCCCUUUGUCUAUCGGUAUGAUACUCGCCCGAGAUUCGAUCGUCGGUAUCCCGAUACCUUGUUCAAUCUCGUUACCGGCAAGUAUCUUUACUCGUUCCAUAACACAUCAUCCCGUGAUCAACUCCUUGAUCACAUUGUGCACAUUAUGAUGAUGUCCUACCGAGUGGGCCCAGAGAUACCUCUCCGUCACACGGAGUGACAAAUCCCAGUCUCGAUUCGUGCCAACCCAACAGACACUUUCGGAGAUACCCGUAGUGUACCUUUAUAGCCACCCAGUUACGUUGUGACGUUUGGCACACCCAAAGCACUCCUACGGUAACCGGGAGUUGCACAAUCUCAUGGUCUAAGGAAAUAUUGACAUUAGAAAAGCUUUAGCAUACGAACUACAUGAUCUAGUGCUAUGCUUAGGAUUGGAUCUUGUCCAUCACAUCAUUCUCCUAAUGAUGUGAUCCCGUUAUCAACGACAUCCAAUGUCCAUGGUCAGGAAACCGUAACCAUCUAUUGAUCAACGAGCUAGUCAACUAGAGGCUUACUAGGGACAUGGUGUUGUCUAUGUAUCCACACAUGUAUCUGAGUUUCCUAUCAAUACAAUUCUAGCAUGGAUAAUAAACGAUUAUCAUGAACAAGGAAAUAUAAUAAUAAUCAAUUUAUUAUUGCCUCUAGGGCAUAUUUCCAACAGUCAGAUUGUUCGGUGUUGGGCAGUGCGGUUGAGUCCGGGCUGUUAUUGCCGGGUUCCCCUUCCCAUACUACGGACGGCUUGAAUAGCCUUUCCAAGAAGAUGUUGGGAGGGACUGCAUCGCGUUUUGCGCCGAUGCGUGCCAGGACAUCCGCCGCCUGAUUAUUUUCCCGGGCUAUAUGGUGAAAUUCGAGCCCUUCGAACUGAGCUGACAUUUUUAAGACGAUGUUGCGAUAAGCUGCCAUUUUUGGAUCCUUGGCAUCGAAGUCUCUGUUUAUUUGGGACAUUGCGAGGUUCAAAUCCCCUCGCACUUCUAGGCGUUGAAUACCCAUGGAUACUGCCAUCCAGAGACCAUGUAAGAGGGCCUCGUAUUCGGCUGCAUUGUUGGAGUCUGUGUACAUAAUCUGGAGUACAUAUUGAACUGUGUCUCCUGUGGGGGACGUCAAAACGACGCCAGCCCCCAGACCGGCCAACAUUUUGGAGCCGUCGAAAUGCAUGAUCUAGUUUUAAUAUGUGCCGUACUCUUCAGGGAGUUCGGCCUCCGUCCAUUCUGUGACGAAGUCAGCCAAAACUUGCGACUUGAUAGCUCGCCGUGGCUUAUAAGUUAUGUCGAACGGGAGGAGCUCGAUGGCCCAUUUCGCAAUCCGGCCCGUUGCGUUGCGGUUCUUUAUAAUAUCGUUUAGUGGUACUUCUGAGGCUACUAUUAUUGAACACUCUUGAAAGUAGUGUCGCAGCUUCCGGGAUGCCAUGAAUACCGCGUACGCAAUCUUUUGAUAAUGUGGGUACCUUGAUUUGCACGGAGUGAGGACAGUGGACACAUAAUAGACCGGCUUCUGAAGGGGGAAUUUGUGUCCGUCGUUUCUCGUUCGACGACGAGCACUGCGCUCAGAACCUGAUGGGUUGCUGCAAUGUAUAAUAGCAUUGGUUCGCCAAUGUUUGGCGCGGCCAGGACUGGGUUUGUUGCCAAUAUGGCUUUUAUUUCGUCGAGUCCGGCCGUGGCUGCGUCCGUCCACUCGAAGUGUUCGGUGCGCCUAAGGAGGCGGUAAAGGGGGAGUGCCUUUUCUCCCAAGUGGGAGAUAAAGCGGCUUAGAGCCGCCACACAUCCGGUUUACUUUUGUAUUUGUUUGAGGUCCUUUGGGAUAUUCAAUUGUGACAGAGCUCGGAUCUUGGCUGGAUUUGCUUCAAUUCCUCUACCGAAUACAAUGAAGCCCAAGAGCUUUCCGGCUGGAACGCCGAAAACGCAUUUUUCUGGGUUGAGCUUGAUGUCGUAUGUUCGGAGGUUAUCAAAUGUGAGCCUCAAGUCAUCUACUAGGGAUUCGACAUGUCUUGUUUUUACGACCACAUCAUCUACAUAUGCCUCCACUGUUUUGCUGAUCUGGUUUGCCAGACAUGUCUGAAUCAUGCGCUGAUAUGUUGUUUUGAGCCCGAAGGGCAUUGUGUUGAAGCAGAAUGGGCCGUAUGGUGUGAUCAAUGUCGUUGCGGCUUGGUCUGAUUCUGCCAUCUUGAUUUGAUGGUAGCCGGAAUAUGCGUCGAGCAAGCACAACGAAUCGUGUCCUGCAGUAGCGUCGAUAAUUUGAUCCAUGCGGGGGAGGGGAAAGGGAUCCUUUGGGCAAGCCUUAUUAAGGUCUUUAAAAUCAACGCACAAGUGCCAGGAUUUGUCCUUCUUUGGUACCAUCACUAGGUUUGCUAGCCAGUCCGGAUGUUUUAUAUCUCUGAUGGAUCCGGCCUCUAAUAGCUUGGCUAGCUCCUCUCCCAUGGCCUGUCUCUUAGGUUCGGAAAAACGCCGAAGAGCCUGUUUGACAGGUUUGAAUCCUUUAGGAUAUUUAAGCUGUGUUCGGCCAGCCUGCGUGGGAUUCCUGGCAUGUCUGAAGGGUGCCAGGCGAAAAUGUCCUAGUUCUCACGUAGGAACUCUCGCAGUGCGGCGUCUACAUCAGGGUUUAAUUGUGCACCGAUGGAAGCUGUUUUAUUGGGGUCCGUUGGAUGGACCUGGAAUUUGACUAUUUUGUCCGCUGGUUUAAAUGAGAUGGACUUGGAUCUUUUGUCGAGUAUCACAUCAUCCCUGUUCACCGUGGAGCGCAGCGCAGUCAGCUCCUCAGCCGCUAGGGCUUAGGAUAGUGCCUCAAGGGCCAGUGCGGCUGUCUUAUUUUAGGCGCGGAGUGCUAUGUCCAGAUCACUAGCGAGAGUGAUGAUUCCGUUCGGCCCGGGCAUCUUGAGUUUCAUGUACCCAUAAUGGGGUAUUGCUUGGAAGAUUGUGAACGCUUCCCGCCCUAGCAGAGCGUGGUAUCCGCUACUGAACGGGACCACUUGGAACGUGACCUCCUCGGACCUGUAAUUAUCCGGCGUGCCGAACACCACAUCUAGUGUGAUUUUUCCUGUACAGCACGCUUCCUGACUGGGGAUUAUUCCUCUAAAGGUUGUGCUGCUUCGCUCAAUGCGGUUCCAGUCUAUUUCUAGUUUUUGAAGGGUUUCCUCAUAAAUGAGGUUCAAUCCGCUGCCUCCAUCCAUGAGUACCUUGGUAAGGCGAAAGCCAUCCACUAUUAGACUGAGGACCAAUGUGGCUGGUGCUCGGGCUGUUCGGAAUUUAGGUUCAUCACUGGCAUUAAAAGUAAUAGCCGUGUCACUCCAUGGGUUUAUUGUUGCUACUUGGUAGACUUCGACAAGGCUGCGGAGUGUUCUUUUUCGCAUAUUAUUUGAUGCGAAAGUCUCGAAGACUGUUAAUACCGUACCGGUAUCCCUGGGGUGGCUUUCUAUGGCCUCCGGAAUUAGGAGAUCUUCACCAAUUUUGGCCACCUGCCGGAGUAUCCAACAUGCUCUAAGGCUGUGAGUUGGUGUGGCGCCCUCUGUACUAUGAAUUUUACAGGGUCGAUUAAGCCAUCCUUCCAAUAUGCUUCCAUGCCCUGUAGAGGGUUUUUGCUUUUUGGUGUUUAACCGGGUGUCUGGCGAAGAUGCACCCUUUUAUUUCGGACUGGGUUUGUAUUCAGGGCCGGAUUGUCCCAAAAUUUUAUUUCGGUUUUCCAGGCGCUAUCCAUCGCACAGUACUUUCGUACUAUGGACACCAAGUCAGCGAAGCAUGUAAUAUCACGGCGACUUAUGGCGUUGAGGAUUCCCUUGUCCAUGCAAUUAUUGCAGAAGAAUGAGAUUGCGUCUUCCUCGCGGCAGUCCUUGAUCCUGUUCAUAGCCAGGAGGAAUCUGGCCCAGUAAUGAUGUACUGUUUCUUUGGGUUUUUGCCUAAUUUGGGAUAGAUCGCUUAUGUUCGGGUGGGUGGGUGGAAUUAAAUCCGAAACCUGACCCGAUCUGAGACUCAGAGGCCAAGGAGAUUCCGAACUCGGAAGUUUGGAUUCUUGGAUGUUGUCCAAUGAGUCUAGCCCGUCGCCUGACUCUAAGUUCAGGUCUUGAGUGAUGUCCUCCCCUCCGCGGGUAUCCGACUUGGAGGGAUCGGGAAUCCGGACAUAACUAGUCCUUAAGAUAGAUGAAGGGUCACCGCACUGUCCCUCUACCAUAGCAAUGUGAUGGGUGACCUGGGGAGAGUUAAUCUCUCUUAGAUCGGGUUUAGGCCCAAUCUGGUCAUAAUCCGUGGCAACUCCCAGGGCGGCGACGCGAUCCAAGAGCUCGUUUAUGGAAGAGAGCUCCAUUGUAUCUAACUGCUCGGCGAGUUCCGAGAUGACAUGAAGACUGCUUUUGAUGACCCGAGAGGUCAUCGUCGGCGCAGCAGCCGAACAGGCGGUCAUAAGAAAACCGCCUAGCCGGAGAGUUUGGCCGACAGCCAAAGCUCCCUUAGCAACGGUUCCGUCUUUAAAGACGGGAUGAGGCAUCCUUCCUGAUGGCGACGGCACAGAGGAACUCUCAAUGUAAGCACCAAUAUCGGUGUCAAAACCGGCGGAUCUCGGGUAGGGGGUCCCGAACUGUGCGUCUAGGCGGAUGGUAACAGGACACAAGGGACACGAUGUUUACCCAGGUUCGGGCCCUCUCGAUGGAGGUAAAACCCUACUCCUGCUUGAUUAAUAUUGAUGAUAUGGGUAGUACAAGAGUAGAUAUACCACGAGAUCAAGGAGGCUAAACCCUAGAAGCUAGCCUAUGGUAUGAUUGUUGUUGUCCUACGGACUAAAACCCUUCGGUUUAUAUAGACACCGGAGAGGGUUAGGGUUACACAGAGUCGGUUACAAUGGUAGGAUAUCUACAUAUCCGUAUCGCCAAGCUUGCCUUCCACGCCAAGGAAAGUCCCUUCCGGACAUGGGACGAAGUCUUCAAUCUUGUAUCUUCAUAGUCCGGGAGUCCGGCUGAAGGUAUAGUCCGGCUAUCCAGACACCCCCUAAUCCAGGACUCCCUCACCCAGGUUUUCAGCCAAGAUUAUAACUAACCAUGUCGACAAUAACUCUUAAACAUUAUAGUAACUCUUAUGAGUAGAGGCCGCGGGAAAAAGCCUAGUAGUAGCGCGGAUAAAAGACUAGUAGUAGUGCGGGUGCCCGUGCUACUACUAUGGCGCUACAGCUAACUCGUAGUAGUAGCGCAGGUGCCACCCGUGCUACUAGUACGUGUGUUAGUAAUAGCGCGGAUUCUACACACGCUACUACUAACUAUGUGUAGCGCCUGUCUGUGACCCGCGCUACUACUAUUAAUUUCAAAAACCAAAAAAAAAUCUCGACCCCGUGCAUGUUGUCAAUGGUGUCAUCCAGCGACGACAGGGGUUGCCGGAGGUGUGGACGGGUAGUGGCAGACCAGAUCCGGCGAUGGCUGUUGGAGAUGGCCGGAUCCAGUGUAGAGCAAGACGACGGUGUGAGGAUCCUCUUCGCGGUCAAGGCGGAGAACUCCUGGUUGGCCAUGUCGACGACCUGUGCAGGCAUGGGCAUGGGAGGUGAGUAAAACCAAAGGGAGAGGGAGAGGAGAGGGAGAGGGAAAAAGAGAAACAAGGGAGAAAGGAAGGAGAUGGAGGGCGUAUCGGGGCUGCAUGGAGGCGAGGAGGAAGACGGGCGAGCUCUUGGACGCCAGCGAUGCGAGGAGGAAGACGUUGGGUGCCAUGGAGGAGGAGAUGUUCUUGGGCAGGAGCACCAUGGAGAGAGGGGGAAAGUGAGGGAGAGAGGAGGAAAGUGAGAGAGGGGGAAAGUGAGGGAGAGAGGAGGGAUUCGGCCGAGGAUAUGGAGAUUUCAUCUACCUCGUACUUAGUAGUAGCGAGGGGUAUAAAACCGCACUACUACUAUCAACAUAGUAGUAGCAUGGGUUUGUACCCCUCGCUACUACUAUGGCAUGUCCCGGGAGGGCAUGGUAGACACCGCUUAGUAGUAUCGAGGGUGAAAAACCCGCGCUAAUAGUAUCAACUUAGUAGUAGCGAGGGGUAAAAACCCACGCUACUAGUAAGUAGCAGUAGCGACGGUUAUAAACCCGCGCUACUAGUAAGCGUCUGCCUAUAAGCUUUUCCCUAGUAGUGGCAUAUCUAUGACAUAAUCAACUAGCGAGCAAUAAUAAGAUAUCUCAAACAACAACACGUUGUGAAAACAACCAUGAUAUAAUAUGACAAUAGUGGUAUCUCGCUAGCCCUUUCUAAGACCGCAAAACAUAAAUGCAGAGCACCUCCAAAGUUCAAGCAGCGACUAAACAUUGUAAUUCAUGGUAGAAAAGAUCUAGUCUUGAUGCACCCAACAUUAGCAACACAUAGUGCAUCAGCAUGACAACAGUGCUCUUUGGAUUUGGCACUUAUUUUAGAAGGUGAUGACACAACAUAAAAGUAAAUAGAUAGUCCCUUCGCAGAGGGAAGCAGUGAUUUGCAGCUGUGCCAGAGCUCAAAAUUUUAAAACAGAGGUAAAUGAAAUUUUGGGAAAUUGAUACGUAUCCAAUGUAUCUAUAAUUUUUUAUUGUUCCAUGCUAUAUUAUAUUAUGUUUUGGAUGUUUAAUAGGCUUAUUUAUACACUUUUAUAUUAUUUUUGGGACUAACCUAUUAACCGGAGGCCCAGCACAAAUUGCUGUUUUUGUUCCUACUUCAGUGUUUCGCAAAAAAAAGAAUAUCAAAUGGAGUGCAAACGGAAUGAAACCUUCGGGAACAUGAUUUUUGAAACAAAUGUGAUCCAGAGGACUUGGAGUCCAUGUCAAGCAGUCAACGAGGAGGGCACGAGGCAGGGGGCGCUCCUACCUCCCCCUAGGCGCGCCCUCCACCCUCAUGGGGCCCACGUUGCUCCACCGGCGUACUUCUUCCUCCUAUAUAUACCUACGUACCCCCAAACCAUCAGGGGCAUCCACGAAAACCUAAUUCCACCGCCGCAACCUUCUGUACACGUGAGAUCCCAUCUUGGGGCCUUUUCCGGCAUCCUGCCGGAGGGGGCAUUGAUCACGGAGGGCUUCUACAUCAACACCAUAGCCACUCCGAUGAUGUGUGAGUAGUUUACCUUAGACUUUUGGGUCCAUAGUUAUUAGCUAGAUGGCUUCUUCUCUCUCUUUGGAUCUCAAUACAAAGUUCUCCACGAUUCUCGUGGAGAUCUAUUCGAUGUAAUCUUCUUUUGCGGUGUGUUUGUCGGGACCGAUGAAUUAUGGAUUUAUGAUCAAGUUUAUCUAUGAACAAUAUUUGAAUAUCCUCUGAAUUCUUUUAUGUAUGAUUGGUUAUCUUUGCAAGUCUCUUCGAAUUAUCAGUUUGGUUUGGCCUACUAGAUUGAUCUUUCUUGCAACGGGAGAAGUGCCUAGCUUUGAGUUCAAUCUUGUGGUGUCGUUUCCCAGUGACAGCAGGGGCAGCAAGGCACGUAUUGUAUUGUUGCCAUCGAGGAUAACAAGAUGGGGUUUAUAUCAUAUUGCAUGAGUUUAUCUCUCUACAUCAUGUCAUCUUGCUUAAAGCGUUACUCUGUUCUUAUGAACUUAAUACUCUAGAUGCAUGUUGGAUAGCGAUCGAUGUGUGGAGUAAUAGUAGUAGAUGCAGGCAGGAGUCGGUCUACUUGUCACGGACAUGAUGCCUAUAUACAUGAUCAUACCUAGAUAUUCUCAUAACUAUGCUCAAUUCUAUCAAUUGCUCGACAGUAAUUUGUUCACCCACCGUAAUACUUAUGCUUUUGAGAGAAGCCACUAAUGAAACAUAUGGCCCCCGGGUCUAUUUUCCAUCAUAUUAAUCUUCCAACACAUAGCCUUUUCUAUUGCCCUUUUUAUUUUACUUUGCAUCUCUAUUUCUCUUUAUCAUAGAAAUACUAAAAAUAUUAUCUUAUCAUAUCUAUCAGAUCUCACUCUCGUUAGUGACCGUGAAGGGAUUGACAACCCCUUUAUCGCGUUGGUUGCGAGGUUCUUAUUUGUUUUGUGUAGGUGCGUGGGACUUGAGCGUGGCCUCCUACUGGAUUGAUACCUUUGUUCUCAAAACUGAGGGAAAUACUUACGCUACUUUGUUACAUCACCCUUUCCUCUUCAAGGCAAAAAACAACGCAAUGCUCAAGAGGUAGCAAGAAAGAUUUCUGGCGCCGUUGCCGGGGAGUUUACGCAAAAGUCAACAUACCAAGUACCCAUCACAAACUCUUAUCCCUUGCAUUACAUUAUUUGCCAUUUGCCUCUCGUUUUCCUCUCCCUCGCUUCACCCUUGCCGUUUUAUUCGCCCUCUUUUCCGCUCGCCUUUCCUUCGCCAUGUCGGAACCAAAAAGAGUUGGGGGUUCUCUCCCGAGUUUUAGUACUUUGGACGAUCCUUCUAUUCUAUCUAAACUCAUAAAUAAUGUCAUGGUAAAACCUGCCGGAGUUGUCAAUGAGAGUCUUAAUAAUUUUGAUGAAGAUGAUUCCGGAAUUUUUCGUUAUUUACUCGAUGAAUCUUUGAAAGAUGCUUGGGAUAGACUGUUAAGGAUCCGGGCUAACUAUGUGCCCCAAUACCAAAUUGUAGUUUACUUGAAGAGCUUUUAUGUUGCCCUACCUUCUUCGUUUAAGCAUGUCUUAGAUUCUAUAUUUGAAGAAGGCUUUCUUGAAGGGGAUGCCGUAGAUACUUAUGAAAAGAUGAAGACCAUAUUCGGGCACCCCAUGAAUGAGAAAAUUGAAUCUACAUCUCUUUUGCUCUCCAGUCCUUGGUUCAUGUAAAUCUGAAUCUAGCCGGCACUACCCCUUCACAAGCUGUUGCAUAGUCUUCAGCGAGGUGCGGCAUAACUUCCGUGUGAGGGGAAAUGAACUUCUCCAUGAAUACCUUCUCUCUCACCUUGAAAGCGGUAUAGUAGUAGCCUGGGUUGCACUUGAGCAAUCCAUUUUCCAUGAGAAACUUUACAACGUAGUACCUGGGUUUCAUCCAGCCCUCCAGCUUGUAAUUGAUAAUUAUUGACCGUUGAGCAACGUAGGUAGGUUCCAACCUGUUAGACUAUGUAUAGCUUCUGUACCUAUGUACGUAUAUGGUACAUAUUGUAACACAACCAUUAUAUAUAAUGAGAUAAGCCACCCCUAGAGGGUUGUGCUGGUUCCCCAAAACUUAUUGUCUUACAUGGUAUCACGCUAGGUUACGAUCGCUUCCGCUUCUAAACCCUAAUACCCGCACCGCCGCCGCAGCCGCCGCCGCCUUCACCGCCGCCGCCGCGCCACCGAUCGCGCCGCCGCCAUGUCGAGCGCUGCCACCACCGGUUCCACUGCUGCGGGCUUCCUCCCGGCCUCUCUUGCGGCUCUGCUCAACCUCCCGCUCGAUGCCGUCUCUGUUCCGGCUCCGAUCGGGACAAGGAGCAUCGGCUCCGUCUUCUCCAUGCCGCCGGCGCCCUCGCUUGGGCGUGACCUCGUGGUCCACACCGCGGCGCCGCCGUCCGCUGCGGACUCCGCAGGCAUCGUCCCGCCGCUCCUGCCGCAAGCGGAUCACACUGCCCCGCUGGCGGGGUUGGCGGCGUCCGCCCCGGCCGCGGGCCUUGCGGCGUCCGCACCGGCCGCGAGCUUUGCGGCGCCCGCCCUGGCUGCGGUCCCGCCUCCUCCCGCAUCGGCUUCGGUGCCUCCAGCUGCCUCCAUGGUGUUUGCACCCCAGGCAGCCUCCUCGAUGGGAUUGUCUUCGCCGCUGCCGUUUCACUUCGGUCAUCUCAUCACCAUCAAGCUCUCCGCCGACAACUACAUCUUCUGGCGUGCGCAGGUUCUCCCGCUCUUGGGGAGUCACUACCUGCUAGGCUACAUCGACGGAUCGCUUCCCUGCCCACCCGCGCUGGUAGACAGCAUGCACGGUCCGGUCUACAAUCCGGCCCAUCGCGUCUGGACGGGGCAGGACCAGGCGAACCUCUCCUCCAUCCAGGGGUCGCUCUCGCCGGCAGUUGUCGGCCUUGUUGUCUUCGCGAAGACGUCUCAUGAGGCCUGGACCAUCCUUGAGCACACCUUUGCAGCGCAGUCCCAGGCUCGUGUCUCUGCACUCCGUCGUCAGCUUGGAGAGUGUCAGAAGCUUGACUCCACUGCCACUGAGUUCUACAACAAGGUCAAGGGCCUCGCCGACACAUUGGCCUCCAUUGGACAGCCCCUCACCGACUCCGAGUUCAACUCGUUUAUUGUCAAUGGUCUUGAUGAGGAGUAUGAUGCCUUAGUCGAGAUCAUCAACGAGCGGGGCAACUCGACACCCAUGCUGGCACACGAGGUUUUCUCUCGGCUCCUUCUCACUGAGCAACGGGUCGAGACUCGCCGCACCAGGGGCACUGGCUCCCUCUCGGCCAACGCCGCCACCAAGGGUGGCCGCUCUUCUUCAUCACCCCGGUCUCCCUUGGGGCUGCCACCGUCGCCCUCCUCGGCCCCCCACCUACUGCGACCUUACCGGGGGCUGGCGUUCCACGUGUGUGUCAGCUUUGUGGCCGCGAUGGGCACUGGGCCUCCAAGUGUCAUAAGCGCUUCCAGCGAAGCUUCCUUGGUCUUGGCAAUGACGGCAAAGAUACACGCAACAAUGCCCGUCAGGUCGCCAUGGCUGAUCGUCCCGCGCCGCAGAAGCAACAGGGACACACUCAGUCCUACUCCAUCGAUCCACACUGGUACAUGGACUCUGGGGCGAUAGAGCAUCUAACCAGCGAGAUGGGGAAGCUUCACACUCGUGAACCCUAUCAUGGCUCCGACAAGAUCCACACCGCCAAUGGAGCAGGUAUGCACAUCUCUCAUAUUGGUCAAGCAUCUCUUCUCACUAGACAUGCCAAUAGGAGUCUUCAGCUUCGCAAUGUUCUUCGAGUUCCAUCUGUGACCCGUAAUCUUCUUUCAGUUCCUAAACUCACACGUGAUAAUAAUGUGCUUUGUGAAUUUCACCCUUUUGAUCUUUUUAUUAAGGAUCGGGGCACGAGGGACAUUCUUCUUAGUGGGCGGUUGUGCCAGGGCCUCUACCGUCUGGAGCAUCCUGGUGUCGCUCGUGUUUUCAGUGGAGUUCGGGUCUCUCCGUCACAGUGGCAUGCUCGUCUUGGUCACCCGGCCACACCUAUUGUCCGUCAUAUUUUGCGUCGUCAUGAGCUUCCUAGUUUGUCUAGUCAUAAAGAUGUAGCAGUGUGUGAUGCUUGUCAGCAGGGGAAGAGUCAUCAACUUCCUUUUUCGGAGUCCAGUCGUGAGGUGAAACAUCCUUUAGAACUUGUGUUUUCAGAUGUAUGGGGUCCUGCUCAGACUUCUGUCAGUGGUCAUAAUUACUAUAUCAGUAGUCGCUUUACCUGGCUUUACCUUAUUAAACGCAAAUCUGAUGUGUUUGAUAUUUUUGUUCAGUUUCAAAAACAUGUUGAACGUCUUCUCAAGCACAAAAUUGUUCAUGUCCAGUCAGACUGGGGGGGCGAGUAUCGCAACCUCAACUCUUUCUUUCAGUCGCUUGGGAUAGCUCAUCGUUUAGCAUGUCCACAUACACAUCAGCAGAAUGGUUCAGUCGAACGUAAGCAUCGUCAUAUUGUUGAAGCUGGUCUUACUCUUUUGGCCCAUGCAUCUAUUCCGUUUCGGUUUUGGAGUGAUGCUUUCACCAUUGCAUGCUUUCUCAUCAACCAUACUCCUACUCGUGUUUUAAACAUGAAGACUCCCAUUGAGGUUCUCCUUAAUGAACAACCUGAUUAUACCUUUCUCAAGGUAUUUGGGUGUGCUUGCUGGCCGCAUCUUCGUCCAUAUAACAAGCGCAAGCUUGAGUUUCGUUCUAAGAAGUGUGUUUUUCUUGGCUAUAGCUCUCUUCAUAAAAGUUACAAAUGUCUUCAUGUUCCCACUAAUCGUGUCUAUAUAUCUCGGGACGUCGUGUUUGAUGAGCAUGUUUUUCCCUUUGCCAACCUUCCUGUGUCCACUGUCGAACCACCAUCCCUGCAUUCAUCCUCUGUUGCUUCUGACCAAUUUGAUGAUGUUGCAUACUCUCCUUUGCUGUUACCUAACCAUCUCCACUGCUCGGUCCGUUUCGCCAGCGGCCGCCGAGUCGCCCGCGACUCGGCCCGUCACGCCGUCUUCGCCUGCGGCUCGGCCCGUCACGCCGUCUUCGCCCGCGGCUCGGGUCCUCAUGUCGCCUUCAUCAGCGGAUCGGCCUGCGACACCGGCCGCGCCACGGCCCACUAUGCCGAGCUCGCCAUCGGCCCGGUCUGUGAUGCCGGAGUCGCCAGCUGCUUCGUCUGCUCUGCCGGUUUCGCCGGUGGGUCGGCCUUCUUCGCCAACCGAGUCCGAGGCUACCGUGACUGGCUCCUCGUCACCGGCUGACUCGUCAACGUCGCCGUCCUCCAGCCCGUUGCAGGCUGCUCCGUCGACCUCGGUGGUUCCUGUGUCCCGACCACAUACAUGCAGUCGCAGUGGCAUUUUCAAACCUAAGGAACGUAAGGAUGGUACGGUUGCUUGGUUGGCUGCUUGUUUGGCUGCUGCUGUUGCGGAUCCAUCUUCUGAGCCUCGCUCAUAUCAGGCUGCCCUGCGCAUUCCACAUUGGCGAGAGGCUAUGGAGCAGGAGUUUCAUGCUCUUCUUCGUAACAAGACAUGGACUCUCGUUCCUCCACCACCACGGGUAAAUGUUAUUGAAUCAAAAUGGGUAUUCAAAGUGAAGAAGCAUUCGGAUGGAUCUAUUGAGCGUUACAAAGCGCGACUUGUUGCUCGCGGUUUUCGGCAGCGUCAUGGUCUUGACUAUGAGGACACCUUCAGUCCUGUCGUCAAGCCUACCACUAUUCGACUUCUUCUCUCCAUUGUUGUUUCUCGUGGUUGGUCACUUCGUCAACUUGAUGUGCAGAAUGCUUUUCUACAUGGAUUUUUGGAGGAAGAGGUUUAUAUGAAACAGCCGCCUGGUUUCUCUGAUCCUGAUCGUCCUGACUAUAUCUGUCGUCUUUCCAAAGCACUAUAUGGUUUGAAGCAAGCUCCUCGUGCCUGGCAUGCCUGCCUUGCCUCUGCCCUUCGUGCUCAUGGGUUUGUGCCGUCUACUGCUGACACUUCGUUAUUUCUUCUACAGAAGCCAGAAGUCACUAUGUAUCUUUUGGUAUAUGUCGAUGAUAUUAUCCUUGUCAGCUCUUCUCAGUAUGAUGCUGAUGCUCUUGUCUGCUCUCUUGGUGCUGAUUUUGCGGUCAAAGAUCUUGGGAAGCUUCACUACUUUCUUGGAGUUGAGGUCACUUCUCGUGCUACUGGUCUUGUCCUUACGCAGAAGAAGUACUCCUUGGAGUUGUUACAGAGAGCUGGCAUGCUGAAGUGCAAACCGACCACCACACCCAUGUCGUCUACCGACAAGAUAACAGCUGCUGAUGGUGAGCUUUUGUCUCCUGCGGAUGCCACAGAGUACAGGAGCAUUGUUGGUGGACUUCAGUACUUGACGAUCACGAGACCAGAUAUCUCUUAUGCUGUUAACAGGGUUUGUCAGUAUCUUCAGGCUCCCAGAGAUACUCAUUGGGCUGCUGUUAAACGCAUUCUUCGUUAUGUUCAGUUCAUCCUGACAUUUGGUAUGCAUAUUCGGCCGACUUCCUCUCGGGUCCUUUCGGCCUUCUCUGAUGUAGAUUGGGCUGGUAGCCCAGAUGACAGACGAUCCACGGGGGGUUAUGCAGUAUUCUUUGGCUCUAAUUUGAUCGCCUGGAGUGCUCGGAAACAAGCUACUGUGUCACGUAGCAGUACUGAAGCUGAGUACAAGGCUGUGGCUAAUGCUACUGCAGAGAUUAUUUGGGUGCAGUCUUUGCUUCAGGAGUUGGGUUUGUCUCAACCACAGCCUCCUAUUCUUUGGUGUGAUAACAUCGGUGCUACAUACCUUUCUGCAAAUCCAGUAUUUCAUGCCCGAAUGAAACACAUUGAAGUUGACUAUCACUUUGUACGGGAACGUGUAUCACAGAAGCAACUCCAGAUCAAGUUUAUCUCAUCUAAGGAUCAACUUGCAGACAUCUUCACUAAGCCUUUACCGCUGCCACAGUUUGAGGCUUGUAGGCGCAAUCUUACCCUUCUCAGUUCUUUAGAAAGUGGCUAAGAUUGAGGGAGGGUGUUAGACUAUGUAUAGCUUCUGUACCUAUGUACGUAUAUGGUACAUAUUGUAACACAACCAUUAUAUAUAAUGAGAUAAGCCACCCCUAAAGGGUUGUGCUGAUUCCCCAAAACUUAUUGUCUUACACAACCCCACCUCAGAGAUGAGGAAAUCAGACCUGCGCUGCAGUAAUUCCUUUGACUUCCUCAGCAGACACGGAGCGUUACACACAACAAUGCUCACCUCAGCGUCUGACCACCUGAACAUCUUCUUCAAGUAGGCCACAUUGGCGGCGAUCUUCUCCUCGCUGAGGAAUCUGACAGUAUCCAGCGUGUGCCUGAACAUCCUGAGCCACGAGGCAUGCCAAGGCCUUCGGCGCAUGCCACCAUCGCCCUGACGUGUUCUGGCUUGUUGCUCAGGACACCCCGCGCGCGGAGGGACAACUUGGUGAUAUCGCAAUCAUCUAGCCCGCAUUGCCGUAGGAGCGCGACGUUGGGUUUGACCAUCUCCUCGAUGCUGUGUUUUGGUUUUCGGUUUGCGUUUUUUCUCGCCCCUGAACGAGAUGGCCGAAAUUCGGCCAUUUCAAAAAUCUCGGUAAAAUCUCGGACGAAAUUACAAAACCAAAAUUUGAAUUUUAAACGAAAUUUGACUAAAAAUUGGCCGAAAUUCGGCCGAAUUUUUUGAAAACAAGCAGAGCAAAUGUACAGCAGUCGAACAACACUGAGGAGUACAUGUAUGCGUUACCAAACUAGCUUUGGGGAUUAAUAACUCCAAAAGAAAAGAUUGAAACAAGGAUACAGAGAGGUGAUCCAGAGUUGAGGAGUUCCCGAUGGAUUCAGCCGCAGCCCGCAGCCGGCAGAGGUCAGCAGCAGGGGCCGGUCGUAGGAACGGCGAGAACGGGGUAGGAGCCGCAUGCUCGAGCGGGGAGGCAGGUGCCGACGAGCGGAGGAGCCGCGUAUUGGCGCAUCGCCGCCGCCGCAAACACAGGGGCCGCAGGGGAUCGUGGUUAGUUUAGGGUUCACGAGUUCGGUUCGAUGCUUUUAAUCCAGGCAAACCGUGGGGAGGCCCAGAAGUUGGACUGGGCCAGAAAAAAGUUUCAAUCUGGGCCGAAAGUUUUGGCCGGCACAGACAUUUACCGGGUCGAGGCGAGAUGACCGAAAUUCGGCCGAAAAUUGUUUUUUUCGGCCGAAAAUCAAAACACAGCCUCGAUGUCAGCGCCGGCGAGGUAGCCUUGCUUGAGCACCCGGAAGAGGUUCUCCGAGGAGCCGAAUAGGAGCAGGUAGUACCGCAAAUUGGAAACAAUGGACCUGGAACAGAAGUGGGCGAAGGAGAGCGCGACGAGGCGCACGAUCUCAGUACGCGAGAGGCCGAGGCCGGUGAGCCCACGACGACGGGGGCUAGAGUUUUCUCUACUUUGGCGCAGAGGAACAACGGGUCCUUGGCGACGAGGGCGGCGACGUCGGUGCCGGAGAGGCCGAGGCCGGCGAGGAAGGAAAGGACGGCGUCGGGCUUGGACGAGGACUUGAGGUGGGAGAGCUUGGCGGAGGCCUUGAGUGCCUGGGGUCGGGUGAGGCCGAAGGUGGAGACGAGGUAGUCGUCGACGACGAAGCUAGGGUUUGGGGAAACGCCGGGCGCGGCGGCCGCGGAGAGGGGGCGGUGGAGAGGGGGGCCUGAGAGGUGGCGGGGGAAGAGAGGAGCCGCACGAGGAUGCAGCCACGGAGGCGGAGCAUGGCGGCGGCGGCGGCGGAGAGAUUGAUUCCCUAUGGAGGCGGGUGCGAAUGGGAUGGUGCUUCGGAGGCGGGGAUGCGGCGCCCCGGCGAGGCAGGUGAGGAACGGAGGAAGAGAACAGGAGGAGAGAUCGAAGAGGAUGGCACUUCGGCGGCGGCGGCGGCGCCGCCGAAGAGAUUUUCCGGUCCGCUGUGAGUGGAGAGGAAAAAUGGGAAAUGGCAGGUGCGAUGCGAAUGGAGGCUCCGCAAAUUGCAAUAUCACUGAAUCCCAGGGGUCUUUACGUCUUUCAAAAAUACAAAAUACAUUUAAAAAAACAUACAUAAUACAUUGAGCCUCAUGGAAACUUUCAUAUACACAUGGAAAAUAGAUAUCCCCUCCGUUUAAUAAUGUAGUGCAUAUAGAUUUUUGAAAGUCGGACUUUGCAAAUUAUGAUCAAAUUUAUAAAGCGAACUACUUAUACCUACAUUAUCAAAUAUAUAAAAUAUGAACCUACGUCUUAUGAUGAAUCUAAUGAUAUAUGCUUGACAUUCUAGAUGUAAAUGUUUUUCUUCACAAACUUGGUCAAAUUUUGUUAGAUUUGACUUUUCAAAAAAUCUACAUGCAAUCAUUAUGCAAUCGGUAUUAUAAGGAAAAUGACUUUGAGCGAUAAGAUUAUAUCACAAAAUAAGCUAUUAUACGACUUGUACUUAUCCUAUGAUUUUUUUCUGUAGGUAUAGUACUUCAUCCGUUUUUAUUUACUUUGCAUAUUAGAGUUGACUGAAGUCAAACUUUGUAAAGUUUGACCAAGUUUAUAGAAAAGAAUAUAAAUAUUUACCCUAACAAACGAAAAUCUGCAUCUGAGCCCGGGCUCAGAUGUUCCCGCUCAGAAAAAAAUUCAAAACAAAUUCUAGAAAAAUUCAAAUAAAUCCAAUUUUUUGUGUGGUAGAUAAUUUGAUGCGUGAGGCCCGCUUCAAAUUUCAACUCAUUUGGAUAUCUGAGGAGCUCUCGGCAAAAAAGACAAAUCGGAUCAAAACAGUUCGUGAACAAUAAACUUUUUUACAGACCCGAUUUUGUCUUUUUGCAGAGAGCUGCUCAAAUGUCCAAACGAGUUGAAAUUUGCAGCAAACCUCACGCAUCAAAUUAUCUAUCACACAAAAAAUGGAAUUUUUUUGAUUUUUUCUAGUAUUUGUUUUGAUUUUUUUCGUCGGAGCGAGUGCAGUUGAGCCCGGGAGCCAAAUUGGCUUAUAUGAUGUGAAAGUAUGUUCAAUAAUGAAUGUAAUGGUAUUGAUUUGUUAUUGUACAUGUUAAUAUUUUUGACUAUAAACUUCGUCAAAAUUUAUAAAGCUUGACUUUGACCAAAACUAAUAUGCGGAAUAAAUAAAAACGGAGGGAGUAAAUGGCUAUGUUUUUUUUUGUACGUAGUAAAUGGUUACUUUUUCUGAUUUUUUUUAAAUGGUUAUGCUUGCUAACCAAUCCAAUUCAAAUUAUAUGUCGCUCAAACGGAUGUAUCUAAUUAAUAUGGAUCGGAUGGAGCAGAAAAGUUCAUAUGGAUAUAUAUUUUCUCAAAACUUGAAAGUAUGAUUUCUACAAGUAAAAAAAAAUCAUAUGUGAACUAUGUUUGUUUUUAGCAUUUUGUGUGCGUUCAUGUUUCUUUUUCUCUCUCUUCAUUCUAGCCUCUUUUCCUCCACCUCACUCUGUUCUCACAUUGACAUUGUUGCCUUUUUCAGUGGACUCCUACCUAUCUUUUCUAACUUUUGCAAGGUGAGAAUUGAGAAGGUUAUUAUUCUUUAGUUUUAUGUGUAUAGCUAUCCUAGAGUCGAGAUCAAUUGCAUCGUGUCCACUUAUCCUCUAUAACACUAAGCUUCCUAGUUUUAAAAAGCCCACACUCAAUUAAGGUCUCCAAUUAGAAUUGGAUCAUCCGAUUUUGAACGGGUCAACAAUUUCUCAAAGCUUCAUAAUCCAAUUUUUUUAUACUAUACCAUAUGCUUCCUAAUUUUUAAGGCCUCACAAUUAAUUAAGAUAUUCAAUAUAGAUUGAUCAUCCAAUUUUGACUGGGUCAACAAUUUCUCAACCUCUCCAAUUGAAUUCUUUUAAUUCACUAUAUUCCAAAAUUUUGAAUCUCUUUCAUUCAAUUGAGGUAUUCAAUUUUGAUUUGGUUGAAGAUUUUGAGUGGGCCAAUGAUUUUCAAAUCAAUCAGCUGCAACUGACCUAUAAAAACAUAUCAAUCCCAUGCACCCUUCCACCACAUAGAAAAAAGAAACGUCACCAUGUGAUAUUGUAGUAUCAAUAUAGUACAUGCAACCACCAACGCAGAAAUUUUUCCACAUAAAUAUAGGUUGGUUAGCGGAUGACACAGUCAUCUCCCCACCCGCCUAACUUAAUAUUCCAUCAGUUAUAAAAUAUGAAGGGUAUUAAUUUUGUAGAAAGUAAAACUUCUUUAACUUUGACCAAGUUCAGAGCAAAAAUAUCAACAUCCACAAUAUUAAACAAAAAAAGUAUGGAAAUUCAUUUCGUGAUGAAUCUAAAAAUACUGAUUUAAUCUUAUGAAUUUUGAUAUAUUUCUCUCAAAUUUGAAAAAACUUAAAAGGUUUGGCUUUUCAAAAAAAUACACCUUAUAUUAUGAAACAGAGUGAUUAGUUUCUUAAGAUACCCAAUAACAUGAACGGCGCAGCAAAGCGCGCAGAACCCUUCUAGUUAGUAGUAUAUCUAAGAACAAUUAGCAUCCCAUUGAUGAUCGAUAAACCUUCUUAGUCCAGCUAGUGGUUGGUUGUCUAGAGUAUAGCUGGCCAAAUGGGCCGGUUUUUUCGGGUCGGCCCGUGAGCACGCCGGCACGGCCCACCUUGGGCCAGGCACGGCACGGGCCAAACGAGCCAGGCCCAGCACGCGGCACGCCCUAGGCCGUGCCUGGGCUGGAGGCUGGGCAUGCGGGCCGGCACGGCACGGCCCGAUUAUGUUUUUUAUAUUUGUUAUACAUUUAUAUAUGAUCCAACAUGUAAAAAUAAGCUAAAAACGCUCAAUGCGUCAAAUAAUAGGCUAAAAAUAUGCGGCCCACCGUGCUAAAUGGGCCAACGUGCCGGCUCGUUUACUAACGGGCCGUGCCUGGGCCUGGGGGCGCAGCACGCGGGCCGGCACGGCACGGCACGUAUAGUAAUCGUGCCCUGGCGGACCGUGCCGGACCAGGCACGAUUAUGAUGGGCCGGGCCAUGCCGUGCCGGGCCAGCCCGUUUGGCUAGGUAUGGUCUAGAGAUCUAUAUGGAGUCAGUUGAGAUGGGAUGGUCAGCCAAGUGGGUUGAUCAAUGCUCCUCUUAAAAUUCGAAGCCUAAAGUAGAUGUGCUACUCGAGAAAUAAAAAGACCAACGUAGACCGUACCAACAUCUAAUAUUUGACGUCACAUUUAAAUUUGAUACUAUUCAUACCCAUAAUUGUCCCUUUGCUCAUCGAAUUAUGCAUCUUAUAUAAAUGUUGUAAAUGAUCAAUUUUUAUAAUAAUUUUAGGGUUGUAGUUCGGUGCAUAGGUAGCUCAGAGGAACCAUAGUCAUCGCUUCCUCUCCAAAAAAGCUUAGGGUUCCUAUGCCUCCCGCUGGCGCAGCUGCCGGUCCACCUCGUCUCCGGUGGCCCUAGGGUCAUGGGGACACGGUGAAUCUCAUCCCUUACCAGAGGGCUUCGUUUUUAGACGUUUCUUUGAAUUUUGUUAGGGUUGUGUCUUGCUAAUUAAGGAGGGCAAGACAACGACGGCUUCCUGAAGAUUGAAUAAGAUUCUCCCCGCCUAGCCCCCGUCUCGAUGGCGCAUCUAACAUCGUCGAAGAGUGUGUGGAGGUGUAUCUCCGCCAGAUCUCGCAGGAUUCGGUAGGUGGUUUGUCUUUGGUGGAUCUACUCGGACCCGGUCUUCGUUCGUCUACGUUUGUGUGUCGCUAGAUUGGAUCCUUCCGAUCUAUGGGUCUCUUCAUCGGCGGGGGUUGCUAUUCUAGUGCGCUGGUCCUACGAGGCCUUAGCACGACAAGUUCCCGACUGUGUACUACAAUAAGUUCUGCCCGGCUCCGGGGAGGGAAGGGCGAUGACGACGGUGCGUCUUCGGCUCGUUUUAAUGCUUGUAGUCUUUGCUAGAUGGUCUAAGGAUGAAUGUGAUUUUUAUUAUUCCUAUUGUUCAUUGUAUUGUCAUGAUUGAAAAUGAAUAUAUCAAAUGAUUUCUCAUAGAAAAGAAGCUCAUAAGAACCAUUAAAAGGACAAUCGUGUGGUCUCCCUAGACUUUUUUUUAGAAAAGGAGGAAGACCCCCGGCCUCUGCAUCUGAGCGAUGCAUACAACCACUUUAUUAAUUAUUCUCAAAAGACCUUACAAAGAAAUACAACAAUAAGUCUGAAGCCAUCAUCUAGGCAACAUCUGUUGCUACUCCUAUUCAUUUGAUGAAGGGAUGCUGAUAGUCUGGGCUUAAUACCAAACAGACCUCGCAGCCAAACCUAACAUCUAAGACCUGAGUUCCCAUCCAGGACGCCUGCCGGGUAUGGGUCACCCACCGGUCCGGCACACUCCUCAACAUGGACGCCUGCCGGGUAUGAGGCCGCCGCAGCCACCUGCCACCAAUCCAUCUUCAGAGAUGUAGUGUUGCAUCUACCUUGUCCGGUCUAGCUGCCGUCGACGCCACCACGAUGCCAGACAACGCCACCAUCCUGCGCUCGUCCAUCAACACACGCCCAGCAGCAAGAUCCCGCUGCUCUAUGCCCCUGAGACCCGCCAUUGUCGACGUAUCAGAUGCAACGCCGCUCCUCCUUCGCGAACACCACCUUCUACCACUGGUCCUAUCCCCUCCACCUGUAGAUCCUCUGAACUCCCAACCGAGCCCUAGUGCCCCUGACGACACCUCCAGGAAGGUCACGACGCAAAAAGCGCCGCUGCCGCCAGAUCCGAAAAGGAUUGAAGGUUUUCACCCGGCCGGGGAUCGGGGUGGAUAGAUUGGGCCCUCAGCUGCGCCUUCAUGAAGGAAAGCGGCACCCAUGAGCGUCGCCGCCGCCGGGCCGGCUAGACUGGCCAAGGUUUUCCCCGGACCCAAAGUACACCACCAGGGCUGACCACCACCGGAGCCUGCAGCCGUAAACCACCAGGACGACGACAGAGGCAGCAGGAGAAAGGGGAACCAUUAAAAGGACAAUCGUGUGGUCUCCCUAGAUGGUCCUUGGAGGGAGCGAUGCAAUUUCAUUUCCUUUUUAUUGCAUUCUCAUGGAUCUAUGGGAUACACAGAUUUGGAAUAGCCAUGCGUUAUAUAGGUUUGGAAAAGAUGAAUGGGCAGGACAAAGCCCAUCAAGGUCCACAGUUGGACAUGGUAUUUUUCUCUUCCCUGAUCUUGUGUGGUUGUUACAUUACAACGAGGACUAGAUGCAUUCAUGAACCUGAGGAGACUAUAUACGGUGAUUAUAUCGUGGCUAUCAUAUUUACCUAUUUUACAAAGAAUGAUCGGAUAUAAUUUACUGGUACAAUCCAUUGUGUGCCUUUCACGCUUCCGUCAGUUUAAUUUCCUCACAUUUUAAGUAGUCUUGUGAAGUUGUGAUCAGGUAGCUCGCAAUCUGAAUUUCUGUAAUGAAUUUUUUUUGGUCCAACGAGUAAAACGUAGACUUGGUGACCCUCAAAAGGGAUGAUAUUUUACAUAACGAGUAAAUCAUGAUGUCCUUAGAUAUUUCUUAUGAGUAUUUCUUCUUUUCUGCGGAAAAGUUUCUUGUCUUCCGAACUCUUGGAUGUGGGCAGAACUCUUGAUGAGCCGAGGCACCCGCGGCAUGCCAUUGUGAGUCAAGUUUGCCAUUGUUUGAUGGGAAGUUUUCAAGUGCUACAUGUAGAAGGACGCUAUAGUGGCUGCAAUCUUGCUGCUAAGUGACACGUACUGUCACCCUGUUUCUAAUGAAAAAAACUGAAGAACAAUGACUCAUUUAAACAUUGUUCAAUUUUGUGGUUCAUGAGCCUUUUCUUCAAAGUUUACUUAAAAGUUGGGUUAUUAGGUAAAAAAUGGUUCCUUUCCUUUUGUGCUUGCAAUUUAUUGUCCUGACAAAAACACUUUUUAUUGCAGUGCUAAGAAAAUGCGUCUACUACUUGACUGAACUAAAUACUCUUGAUAGCAAACCCUCUCUGGGCAUAUUCGUAGAUUCAAGGUGAGGAGACAUGCCAGCAUACAGACCAGCAACAUACAUGGCACAUGUACGACGUUCUAACAAGAGCAUAAAGUUGAUUGAUUCUUGAUAGCAUCACCUGAAUAUAUCACUCACGGAUUCAUGAAUGUUCCCCGUUGCAAUGCACGGCCAUUCACCUAGUAAAGGCAAUGAUUUGUUGGUAGUAGAGGCAUCUCAUGUUUCAAAGGGUUAAACCUUAGCCGUCGUGACCCGGCUCCAUGGCUGGGUCAAUCUCGCACCUCUGUUGGUGCCGAACCCUAGGCAAAUUCCCCCAAAUCUCUUGUUGUUUCUAUUGAUUGACCGAAUGUGAGGAGCAAUAGUAGAUCAAUAACUCUCGUAUAACCGAGGGAAAAAGAAAUGAAGAGAAGUUGGCGAAAGUAUCAAGUGGUACAUCUACUUUUUAUAACAUCACAUGAAGCCGGCGAAAAGGAAAGCCGAUCAACGAAGAAACUGCAUAGGGGACCUAUCAUGAGUGAACAUUGCGUGGGCGCCAUUGGCCGCAUCUCAUCAUCUUGUUGUGUAGAAGAAGAAAUGACUGCCGAUGCUGCUGGUGCCUCCAUCUCUAUGACCUUGCCGUCCAAGCCCGCAUUAGCAACAAACACGUAGCACUAGAGCACGGGAGGAGAGUUGAUCAGGGAAAUCGCCUUUCUUGACGACAGGAGAAUUAGUGAUGGGCGACUCCACGCGACGCUGAUGUGAUUUCAGGCCACACUAAAGGAUGUCGGAGAAGGGGGCCAUAGGACGAACUCAACCGCAUCGGUAGUGGGCUUGGUGGAUAUUGUGUCGAGGGCUCGGGGACGCACUCGGUGAUGGUGGUGGACCUCGGGGAGGGGGGCCUCAUACACGUGGAUGCAGGGGAAAAGAGGGUGCACGGGCUUGAAGGCAUUACUCAUCCACCUCUUCUGGCAAAGAGAGCUCAUCGGGGCCAACCGCGUGAAGGAGGAGCUUGAGGUAGCUUGGAGGAGGCGACGACGACAACCAGAUCCAUCUGGCAAGCCAGAGUGGAGGCAUCCCACGUGGGAGCAGUGAUUUCGGUGCCUAAGCUUAGAUGCACCUGCUAUUAUGUUUGUUCAUUGCUGCAUGGAGAUUCAGGAAAUGGGGCAUGAGGUGGCAUUGCUAGGGCGUGGAAAAUCCCCAAAAUGAACUAUACAUGCAUGAAUAGUGUGAUACAUGUGGGUCUAUCGUGUAGCACACGAGGAGGGUUCGAACGAAGGACAGACGGUGCCAUCUUGGUUGGAUUCUGAUCCAUGGCACCUAAUCGUCUGCAUUCAUCUAAGUCGUGGCUCACUCUGCUGCCUGUGGCAUGACUUUGACACUUUGAAUCCGAGUCAUGGCCUAAAGAUUUGUGUAGCUCCAGUUGGGGCCUGCGGUGUAGGAUCGUCGGUACGCACACCGAAUGUCAUCCACGACCGACGUCGGCCAACAGAUUGCUAGCUUACUAGACGCUACAAGAGGUAGCGUCCUUCGUGAAGUUUGUGUGCUUCAACACCAACCAGGUCAUCCUAAGCCGUCAUGGACAACCCAUUCAUCUACGUGGUUGACUUCAACAUUGGAGACGACUUCUCAUGGUCGUUGCUCAUGUCACACCUUGCUCACCAUGGCAACAAGCUGUUUCAUGUCACGUCACUUGCCACCACAUUAAUGCACCGCGCGGAUACGCAUGCACCUACAAUCGUGCAUGGUGUCCCUCAGAGUUCACGCGCGUCCCUAGGGGCUCCCAUUCCAGUACGACGAGAAGGACCUCCUGGUCUGGGCUGGAAGUCACGUAAUGGUACCUACAACAAUCUCGAAAAGAGUAGAAGGCCUGGAUUUCGAGAGCAUCUGAGCUCGCACUUAGAAAUCUAUUUUUGUUCCCACGGUCCAUACAUAGAGAGAAACUAGAAAAGAAAAUGCAAAACACGCAUACAUGCAUGCAUGCUUCCACAAAUGGGUUACCAGAUACCUUUCUGGGGCUCUGGUGACCUCACAUUCAUUGUUGACCCCUUACGACCUCACAAUCAUGGGAGAGAUUUCAUGACCGCACACUGUCUCUAUAAAAGCCUAUCACCUCUAUGAAUCAUGUGGCUCCAUCAUUUCAAAUCCUCCGCGCGCCUAAGAUACCACUUGAGAAAUUACUAAUGGCCAACGGAAAGAAUGUCAUGGCCAUGUUGUUUCUCACCACCAUUGUGGCGGUGGCGGCCACAAGGCCAGCCGAGACCUAUGGCGCUGCGGAGGAGAACACAUUGAAGAUGGCUACCCCCAGCAAGAAAGGGGUUGACGCUACCUUAGCAGCUACACGUGUUGUUGCCGCCGAGAAGUCCAUCAAGAAGGCUGAAAGCGCCACCACACCAGAAGAGGCCGCGACUGCCAAGCAAGAUGGAGCAAAAUCUGCUUCUGCUGCAUUAAAGUACAAUGCCAUCUCUCAGCAGGCAAAUGGUAAAGGUUCUUCUACCUCCCUAGGCAGGAAAGAAGCAGCCGGUACUUUAGCCGCCGCACACUAUGCCGCCGCCGAGAAGUCCAUCAAGAAGGCCGAAACCGCCAAGACACCUGCAAAGGCCGUGGCUGCCAAGCGAGACGCAGCAAAGUCUGUUGACAAUGCAUUAAAGUAUGAUGCCAUCUCUCGGAAAGCAGCUGGUACAAGUUCUUCUACCUCCCCCAAUAGGAAAGAAGGCACCACUGAUGCUGCUAAGAUGUUCACCAAGAAGGCUGAAACCGCUACCACACCUGAAGAGGCCGCGAAUGCCAAGCAAGCUGCAGCCAAGUCUACCGCUGCUACAUCAAAGUAUGGUGUCAUUUCUCAGCAAGUAGCUGGUACAAGUUCUUCUACCUCCCCUAGCAGGAAAGAAGCUGCCGGUAC